AAGAACGCCUCCACCGCCAGCUGCAGGUUGAGCGCCGGCCAUCCCAUCGAGGUGACUUUGUGGGAGGCGUCCCCGCCUGCCCUCUCCCACUUCUCCGUCCACUGCCCCGAUCUCCCAUCCUUCAAUGGCAAUCUGCUUGGCGCGCCUAAAGCCAUCGCCGCCGCCGUCGACGACGCCGACGGCCAGCUCCUCCUCCUCCUCCGAGUCCCCAUCGAUCAGCUUGGUGCCCCGCAUGACAACGACUACUUGGUCUACCAUCCGGAUCCCCCGUCUCCGAAACUGGAUCUGCUCCCCAACCCGCCUCCCCCUACCCUCGGUGACCACCAGCUCGCCAUACUCAGCUGCGGCGACGACCGCUACGUCGUGGCCGCCCUCCACGUCUGGAGUGAGUUCACUUCCACGCUGCGCCUGUACAGAUCUUCUUGUUCGUCUGGGAGUUGGACAUCGGAGGAGGUGUCCGUGGAGGAGCCGGUGAGGGACAGGCUGUGCCCGAUCCCGGACUCAGCCAAGAGGCAGCUGUACCACGUCACCACCAAGACCAUCACGCUCGGAGGUGCGAAGGGCACCGUGGGCUGGGUUGAUCUCUGGCGCGGCAUCCUCCUCUGCGACGUGCUCGACGAAAUGUCUCCAAGGAAGCUCCGCGACAUGCCGCUGCCGUGGCCGGCCAAGGGCAAUUGGAGGAUGUACCUCAAUGGAGAUGUGUCCUUUUGUCGGGACAUCGCCAUCAGCCAACACAAGGAUUCCAUCAAGUAUCUGGAGAUGGAGAUCGUUUCACCAAGAACGGUGACCACCACCAUACCCACCUCCACCUCUGCAGAUCCUACUUCAUACCUUGAAUGGGUUCGCCGCAGCAGAGAACCUCAGCCGACACGGCGACGCUCCGUGUUCCACCCUGGUUCGUGGAGAAUCACUACAUGGAGCAUGCCUAUCCCGGUCACUUCAUGGGACGACUGGCGCCGUGACUGCACUGCUGAAUCGCGUGAAGUCCAUCUUGACACCAACCCAAGUCACCAUUACGAGUUGCUUCAUAGCCUCAUGCUCAGCAACAGCGGUGAUGAACACAGGGAGGAGGCUCAAGGUCAAGGGGCAACCUCUUCCUUGUCCCUAGGUCGCCUGCGUUUGUGUUACCCGGCCUUGAGUUGCAUCGAUGAUGAUGUUGUUUACCUCUUGGGCAACGCUGCUGGCAGGGGUGCUAAGACGGGAGGAAUGAUGGUCGCUGUUGACGUCAGGAACAAGGAGCUGCGAGGAGUGGCCAAGCUUGACCCCGAAAAGAACACCCUCUACUCCAUGCGAUGCUACCUUGCAACUGGGAUCUCCAAACGCCUCAACACUACCACAGGUACUUAAUUACCGCUCGUAUUCCAGAACAAAUGCAGCGCCAUGUGCAUAUGGGUAAUAAAAUGCCAUUUAAGGAUCUAGGGCUGAUCAUUAUAGUUCUUUGUUUAUGAUGGUCCGAAUGACCAAACUAGGACUAGAAUGUAGUAACUUUAUUUAGGGUGAUAGGCUUGAUAUGUUGAUACAAGGGCAGAACAGUACCAAGAGUCCUUUUGGCAGAGUAGUACCAAUACUCAUUAUGCAAUAUACUGUUUUGUGUGAGUUUCAGACAAACGUUGUGUUUCUAACUGUACUUGCAAAAACAAAACCUGAACUCUGUUAACAGAAUAAAGACACCUCCACUAAAAUGUCGACGACUAAUGCAUAAAAUUAUUUGCGUUCUUCGUGAAAAUUCAUAGCAGUAAAUGUGUCGUCACUCUUGUUUCCUUGUCAUUAUGCGUGUAAUAUAUUUUGCUAGCAUGCAUUUAAAUAUGAAGUAAUUAAUCAAAGUGCAUUCGUACCAUGUCAAAAGAACAAGAGAAUAGAGCAAGUAAUAAUAAGGUAGUACUUGACCAAAGCAUACUUGAAAAAGUAGUAUAUUGCUUUAGGUUUUGCUUUUCCUGUUGUACUCAAUGUGGACAACAUGAAUGCUCUUCCUCUUGAGUACUAAUUCUUGCUUCAAGGACAUUUUAUGAGAUAAUAGCUAUUUUAUUUGAUGUAGACACAAGAGUUGGACGACCUGAGGAGGAUGCAGAAGCCGCCGAGUAGAAUGUGCGAACCCAGUGACAUAUAUGCAUCAUACUGCAGCCUGCCUGGAUGCAAAUAUUAUCGUAUCAGUGGUUUGUUGGCUUGAAUGGGGGUUAAGGAGUUGUGCUGUUGCUGGGCAUAUAUAGUUUUGUGACAAGAAUCUUAUCCAGGUUGCUUACUUUGGGUUGAUGAUAAAAGUAGGAGUAGACGUGAAUAACAUUAAUAUAUGUUGGCUUAUUUUUUGAGGGGAUGUUGGCUUAUUUAUGUGGCACUAAUUGUCUUUAUGCCUUUGAGUUAAACACAAAACAAUGAUCCAACUCUUUGAACCUGUUUGUUUCAAGUAAUGAGUUGAUGAAUUUUUCACCACUUGGAGUCCUCCCUCAAACUGGAUCUGCUCCCCGCUGCCUCAAACUGUUUUUUUUUUUUGAACGAAUGUGUUUUCUAAGUUCAUUCUCAGAACAAUGCCCGCCAUCAGAUUCAUCGACUAGCAUAGCAAGACAGUAUAACUUUUUACCAAAGAAAACUGAUUAUAUAGUAUAUAUAGAAUACUUGUCUUACACACAGUGACAAUCCAACAAUAUCUAUGCAACAGGAAUAAUAUGUUAGUGUGCAGAUCAUACCCUCUCAACUCUGAACUCUUCUGCAGCAGGGAGUUCAAGAUAUAUUUUGUACAUAGCUGACAGUGCACCAUUCCGGACAGCGGGACAGAGAAGCUCCAAUCAAAAGUCUCCGAUGUUCUGUCUUAUCUUCUAGGUUUUCGGGCUUGGCUCAAUUGGAAAGGCCCAAUUGAUUUUGGGCUUGAGUACAACGCAGCAUAAGGCGCCACCGAUUAGGCCCAAGUACAGGUAUACUCAAUUAAUUACCACUACUACCACUACAGGUAUACUCAAUUAAUUACCGCUCCUUGUUGUCAUGUCUGUUAUUUGCGUGCUGUUCUACGAGAGAUUAAUCUCUUUGGCUUAAAUUUCUGUCUCAAUUCUUAACAUGCAUAACAGAUUUUAAUCGGUCAAUAUAUAAGUUAGGCUAAACUUUGUUGUGUUCCUUUGCUUGCCGGCAUGUAAGUUCCGAAGAAUUUUGUUUAAACUCUACAAUGUUUGGCCAAGAAAAUUUCUCAUAUCUAGCUAAGAAGAACUAAAAGGAAAAGAGCUGCUGCUCUUGUUCGCCAGUAAUCUGCAUCAAUGGAUAGUGUAUACUGAUCAUUCCGGCGUUGACAUGGCGAAAAGUAUUUUGUCAAUAGGAAGGAGGAGAAUCACACGCCAAGUGCAUGCAUGAUUUUUCAAUUCAUUUCAAGGCAAAGUUUCUAGACAAAGCUAGGUUCUCGAUAAGCCGGCCACUUUGAUUUGAUGACAAUUAGGUUAAUUAAGGCAAUCUUCUUGCCUUUCCUUUUCUAUCAAUAGUGGACAAAGGUGAGAGCUGAUAUUUAUUAUAUCCUGUUAGCCAUUCAGAAAGUGCUUUCCAUGACAUUCCAAACGAAAUGAUAUUUUUCUCAUGUUCAGUCGGCCAUGCAUCUUCAGUUUAACUAAACAAGACAAAAAAAAAAAAAAACUUAUAUCCAACAUAAGAUAUAUAUGCCCUAUGAGCAUAAACGCACUCAGUGAUAAAAUAUACUAGUAAGAGGUAAAGCUAAGGUGAAUGCUGACAAGAGACAAGCCCAUCUGUCCCUCAAAGAUAACAAAUACUACUACUGAUUGAAACAAAAUUAAAGCAUGAUAGCCACUUCUGAAUUUCUGAAUGGCUGAAGGGGAAAAAAAUUGAACAGGAUACUGCAUGCUGAUCGAGUUGAACAAGUAAGAAAAGGUGUUCAUCUUUGCAGAGACAAGAUCUAACACAUUUCUAACUGCAGAGGUAGUUCAUAGCAUCCAUCGAUCACCUACACACAAUAUCCUCUCUCAUGCCUGACCCCUGCACAAACGCACACCGGAUUGCAAAUACACAUAAUUUAGAUCUUUCUAAUGAUUUUGUAUCGUCAGAUAAUCUUGCUUGUUUUGGUCGACCUUCAGAAUUGAGUUGAUGAAGUUCGUCGCAGUGAGCUCUUUGUAGGCAUCACCAGUGCAGCAAAUAGAAGAUGAAUUACAAGACUUACCUGUGAUGAAUUACAAGACUUACCAGGCAUCACCUGUCAAAUAAUCCAUUGAUGAAGUUAGUUUAGAAACUCAAGAGAGUACCGUUAUAAAUGCAGACUUAACAUCAAGGCUAGCACAAAUAGAAGAUGAAUUACAAGACUUACCUGUGAGAAUGAAGAUAAGUUGAAAAGUUGAAGGAUAUUACUGUUAUUGUCAAGGACAUGGGAGGACCAGAGAGCUUACCCAGUCAUUACAAUUUAGAGAUGAACCACAGAUUUGCAUAUGGAAAAUGAUAUAAAUGAUAUAAGAGGUUUGCAAGAUGAUCUGAGAUCUAGCAAUGAGAAUUUGCUAAGAGAAGAAAGACUGAUAUAAGAGCUUUAGUCUAUCCUUGCAAGCCUGACUUCGAAACUUAGUCAAAAGAGUAUGGCCGUGCUUUUCAAUUUCUUAUGUAGUCUUAGCUGCCUCCAAUUUGUUCACUUGUUGGAUAGAUUAGGUAACAUAAAUUUGAUUGAUUUUCCUGAUGAUCAUAGAUUUGUUCACCUCCUCCGCCAUCUUGUGCCUGGCGCCGCCUCCGUCUUCGGUUUGCAAACGUGAACACUGGCAUCACCUACAUGAAAAAUCAAAUGGUUAAUGGUGUGCAACACUGUCAACUUUAAGGUGAAUUUGUGUCAACAAAAUUUCAGUCAAGCUGCACAAAAGAUUCAAAAGUCCCUGAAAUAAAUUGAGAUAACAAACAAUCCUCCAUGCAUAACAGUAUUGAGUACUGGCCCCAUUCGAGUUUAAGAUAAAAGAUUAAGUUCGGACAGGUAAAACGAGAAAAUCAUUAACAUCUCACUAAUUAAGGUUUAAUUAUUUUAAAAUUGAAAAAUAGAUUUAUCUUAUAAUUAAAGCUUCUAUAUAAAUUUUUUUCGUUCGAAAUAUACAGUUCAACAGUUUAAAAAAACGAAUUUAUAAAAAUCUAGGUAAAAUCUGUAUCUUAAUCAGAAAAAGAAAAAUAGAGGCUGAAGAAGCCUUGAGAGAGCAGUAGAGUAUGGCACUGGGAUGAUGCCAAACUGCUUUCAGAACCGAUUCACUGCUGCUGUUGGCAUCUGCAGAUUUGAUGAGUUCAGCUCCAAAAUGAAAUCUGCAUAAGCAAAGCAUCAUGAGUUCUGAAAAGCGAACUGUUUUUUUUUAAAAAAUCUUACAGAUAUGAACUGUAUUACAAGCAGCUGCGAAGCCACAAACCUAUAGCUCUGGCAAAUCCAUCUGGGCAGCACCGAGUCGCCGGCGCGUGCUGCGUGGCGGCGGCAACGCCGGGAGGGACGAGGCGGGAGGAUGAGAGCACCACGGCAAUCCUCUGCACCGAUGAGAUGAUGCUGCACAUGUACUGCUGCGCCAUGGCGGGCACGCUGCCCUGCAGGUGGCUCUCGAACGCGAACUGGAACGCGAUCGUCAUCACCGCCUUGGAGCUCGCCGCUGCUAUUGAUGCCGCUGAUCCUGCUCCAUGGCGUCGCUGCUUCGAGCAUGGAAGCGAGAUCUAGCAUGCAGUUCGAGCUAGAUGUGUCCUAACAUUUGCAAGGAAAGAAAAUCCAGAAGAAUUAUGUUUUUUAUAGCAUAAAAAUUUUAGAAAAUUUGAUUCGAAAUGCUAGUGUAUUAUCUAAUUGUGUGAGAUUUACUUACAGAGGAGAAUCGAUAGGGAUGAUGUAGAAACCGGAAGGCAGCAGCGGAGAAUCAUCACUGAACGAUGCAUCGAUGGGUGCAAAGAUUAGCUCUGAACAUGUUCCUGCACUGCUCUCCUCUACUCCAUUGUACAUCUGCCAUUGCAAUCAGGCCAAGAACACAAGUUUUACAGAGGAAAAAAGAAAAUGAUUCUUCAACUGGUGAUAAGUUUCAUGAAUCAAGAAGUCACCUGCAAGAGGAACAGAUCACGGUGCACCAGUGUAUCUUGGUAGUUUCUGGUGUUUCCUAGCUUGAUAACUUCCAGGAACUGAAACAGUAGAUGGUUGCACCAAAACAUCGAGCAGGAAAACAGAAUUGGACAGGACCUUUUUUGUAACCGACAGACAGUAGAAGAUGGACUUACCUCUGCAGGUUCAAAAGUGUGUGCUAAAGGAAGUAUGACCUGACCACUGAAUCCUCCAAGACGAGACAUGGGUAAAUUGCAGAAGUUUGGUUUCAUCGUCAGCCCAUUGUGACUGGUGUUCGCGCAAAAAUUGCAGUAGUGAUGGAGGAGAGACAUCCUAGCAAACAGCAGAAGAAAUAUUGUAUGAAAAAUAUUGGCAAUUACAAAACAAACAAAAAGAAAGUACUAAUUCUAGUUUCAUAGUGAAGCUAACCUGCAACAGCAUGGAUGCCUUGGCACAAAGAACACCGGUACUGACAAUAGUGAGUCCACUGCUGAAUGUUGCAUUGCAACCGGUCACUUUGGAUGAAUUGACAGAGAUGCAAACAUCGUCGAUGCCAUCGCUCUCGAUCACGGACCAUCCAUCAUCCGCAAGCCCAUUGAGAACUUCAUUGAAGCCUCUGAAAAGAGAGCAUGCAAAAUUAUUUUUCACACUUUUGAACUGAAGAUUCAUGGCAAGAACCAAGAAGCAUCUGCUGUUCAGGAGUCCUACGUGGUGAGCUUUUUGGCUCAGAGCAUGCAAAGCCGCAAGCUUCCUUCCCCAUCCUGUGAUCACAGAACGGGUAUCUUUGUAGGCAACCUGCCUCAGGCAGCGUAAAGACUGAAUUUUGCAUGACUGAAUUAGGCAAUAAUUUUUACAAAUCAACAAGAACAUCAAGAACAGGGUACUAUAAUUACUGUACCGCCAUCGAUAUCUUCUGCGCAACCAAGGCAGAAGAUUCAUACAGAGGUCGCACAACUUCAGGCACGCUCCAAGGCUGUGAACACAAAAAAAUUGGCUGAAAUUUCUUUCUGCUAGAUGAAUGAACUAUUUGGAUAAGAAAUUGUAAUGGUUAUUAGUUAUUACCUCCAGGUCCAUAUGAUCAACGAUGUGUAUCACGCUGCCUCCACCAUCGCUAGGUCGGAUCAAGAACCCACUGGGAAGCAUCUCAUCUCUGAUAAAAGGCUGGACAAGUGGCAUGCUUGGGCCUCCUUGCUUGCUACUGAGUGAUCUCUCACACACCUUCAGAAUUCAGAACAAGAACAUUCAGGCAAGCAGACAAGACAUCAUAGUGACACACAAAUACUUUGGUAUUAAUUGCACAUCAGCACAUGGAUAAUUUGUUUUGCGCUCCAUGAUCAGACAACUAACCACUAAGCUUCCAUCACCGAGAAUGGAGGUGUACCGCAGCAGCCAGAAGUCGUGAGCCGGCGCCAGCGUCGUCGGAGCAUAGAGUUGAAGACUGAAUACAGAUUUCAGCUUCGGAAUUUCAGGUUGAGCUAAGAAUUUGCCACAAAAAUUUUCAGGCUUGUCUGUUCUUGCCUGCAUGUAGAGCAGCUUGACCUUCCAUUUAGCACAACACUAAUGAGUUAAAUCAGAACAUGAACAACCAGACAACUACCCUACCCCUGCAUCAGAAACAUGAAGCUGCACAGAUAAGUUUUUAUCUCAGUCGUCAUAAAGCAGUGAAGAAAAUCAAGCAAAAAAUGUAAUUGCACCAACGAGUGAGAUGGACAGAUUGUUGCACCUCAUUAAAAAUAAAAAGCCCCAAACCUCCUCUAAGUCAAUGAAAAUUAUAGGGAAUGCAAUAAGCCACGAAAUAAUUGCAUGCUAGAAAAAAGUGGCUUGAAUAAACUAAUCUGAGAGCUCCAGUCCACGGUUGGUUUCUCUUAAACAUUGAAUUAUAUGAAGGCCUCUAUUCAAUGGGUUUAUUAGUAUCAACUUGCAUUUAACAGGAACAAUGGCCACUACAACUGAAACAAUGGUACAAUACGAUCAUCAAAGAUUCAAAGUUGUCAAGCUCUGUGACCAAUAGAUACUUACCUUUUAAUUGAGUUGCCAAUGCCCCAACGUUAUAGCCUGAUCCUUACCUUUCGGCUUCUUGCUAUUACCACCCUACUACAAUGCUAUUUCUAUCACCUGAAACAGUAAGAAUCAUGGAAAAAAGAUUCUCGGUUAAUGAUGGCAAGGAUUGAGACUCUGACUGUCCAAAAGAAAUAGUUCAUGCAGCAAUAAGAAAUUAAAAAUCGGCAUCAAGUACACGAGAUAGCCAAAUAAUGGAUCAGGGAAAUGACAUUUAUUUGAUCCCUGCAAAAUUUGCACAUGAACAUACUACUUGCCUAUAGAUGAUGGUGGUGUGGCCGUGUGGGCAAUAUUGGGUGCAUAUGAAAAUGCUGCAAGAAAAAAAAAGGGUGCCCUUUAUACCGAUCAAGAAAAAGAAGUGCAUUUUAGCUUGAUCAAGAACUAACCCAAAAGCAGGCUACUCGUCAACACUGUUUCACUCCCUCUCAGUGAUAUGUGUUCAUGUCUAUUCGGCCAGCAAGCACAUUGCGUUCGUCAAUACAUGCUGUCACUGCCCUUUUGAUCGCCCGCAGAAGAGCCACCCCAGCAUGCACGCAGACAACAAGACAACAACAAGCUUUGAGUUGAAGGGAAAUCCAGAUUAUAUAUUUGAUAUUAGUUAAUUCAGUGUCUCAAAAAAUAUCAUCAACUCCAAUUUGAUGACCAAAAAUCCUCUGCAAAACUGAUAAUUUUACAACCUUGAUGCUACAGAUCAAAUAACAGGACUGAAUGUGCCCUAGCUCCAAAUAUCACAAUAUAGGUGGUAUGUGUUCCUAUCGGGCUAACCUCACCUACUUCAGGGAAGAAAUUGGUCAGCAGCCAUACUUGGAUAAUGGCAGCAUGACCGUCGCCGUGGCCUCGCACCGCCAGUGGCCGGCGCACGCGCAACACACCAGGUCCUUCCGCUUUGGUCACCACUUGCCACUCUUUGCCUCCAUUAAUGACACCACCUCAGCGACUAGCCACCAUAGGUUUGGCCCCAACAAUCACUUGAAAUGAAAGUUGAGAUUACAAAUACGGCAAGCAGGAAAGCCGGUGAAAUCAAACUGCAGCAUCAUGCCAUUCUCCUCUCAAAUAUGGCCGUAAAGCAACACAAGAAGGGAUGUUUUUACCUCUCAAAUCUGUUUGCCGACACCGCCGCUGUGGUGGAGGAGGAGGCCACCAUGUAACACAGAACAUGUAACACAAGAAGGAUGGCAGUGUUUUAUCAGACUUGAUUUGUACCUGAAGGGCGGCAUGUUGGUGGGGAAUGCGUAGAUGCAGAGAACCAUCUCCAUCGGCCGGCAUGCUUGGUCCGCCACAAACCGCACCGGAUCUCAUCGCUGUGUUCUUGUAUCCGCCCCUGCCGAGGUCAGAGCACAAUCCACACCGCUGCUGAUUUACUCCAAUCCAUUCUUUCUAUGAAAAGAAGAAAAUCGAAAUAUCAAAAAAGGAACACAAAACUGAGUUCAACUUCAACCGCACAUCAUUAUGCACGCUGCAAACCUUACCUCCGUGAGACACGCACCAACAGCGGGAAACACGACGAUGAUACCAGCAAUGCAGCACCAAAGGAUGGGGAGAAGCUGUGCCGCCAGUCGAUCUGCGGCGCCCUCGCUUGAUCCGCCGUUGGUCCCAUUCGCACGAAAGGGGAAGAAAUGAAGACAUCAACCGAAGAGGCAGGGAGGGGAGAAGACAGAGCGACGCGACGAGGCGAGGACGAAGAAAGUAUUGGGGUGGAGGCGCUCGAGGAUGAGGAGGCCAGCGCGAGCUCGCAUCCGGCGCUGCACCCGUCCCCCGCCGCCUACGCCGCGAACGCCGCGGCCGUGAGGACAAGGAUGAGGAGGAAGGUGGAAGCUUCCACGGCGGGAGGUCGCUCGUGACGAAACCCUAGCGACGGGGCGGGGACGGGGAUGGGGGCGGCGACGCGAGGCGUGGACGGGGGCAGUGGUGGCCGGCAACGGAGGCGGUGAAGGGCGGAGAAUGGACCGGCGGCGGAGGAGGAGGAUGGCUGAGGGAGAGGGAGGAGGGGCGGCGCGCGGGGCGGCGGCGGCGGCGGCGACGCGAGGCGGGAGAAGGAGAGGGAGAGGGCGAGACGGGGGACGGGAGGGACGAGGAGACGAGCAGGCAGCGGCGGGCAGGUUGGGGGCUUGGGGCUGGGCGCACGGCGUUUUUGCGAAAAAGACCCUCGUCUUUCAAGUUUUACAGCGCGACCCUAACUCGCCACAUCUCCCUUCCUCCUAUGCAAUAACUGUAUUCACCAGAGGCCUAAACGUAAAUAGACAACUCGGUGGGACUGUUCAUGGAGGACGGCGGCCGAAUUACGCGCGAAGCGGAGGGCCUUUUCACAAAAAUGCCACCCCGCGCGCUGUAUAUACUGUAGCAAAAUCCUUACGUGGCACCCCUCCUCGCUCGCCCCAUGUGCGCCGCUUUAUAUAUUCCGAUUCCGAUUCCGUUUACAGGUGGAAUUAAUCACCUGUGGUGUGAACACAUAGGGAAGCAGGGGAGGGAGCUCCUGCUCCUGCAUGACGUCAUCCGGCAGCGGUAGCGCGGUCCUCAGCCACGCCCUUUGCGGCACGGCCAGUGGCCUCCGUCCAAGAUCCCCUCGGUGCCGCGGCUUGGGGAGAGAGGCGGCUGGCGAAUCAAAAGGCAGGCAAAGACGGACGUAGCGAUGCACGUGAUUUCACCCUCCCCAUCCCCAAGCACGGCAACCGAAUUCAUCGCCACAUCCAGCGACGAGGUGAAUCUGUGCCACUGCCGCCGAGCUUGAGGGGAGAGACGCACAGAACAGCGCGCCGGCGCGUGGGAGGGUCGGCCUCGGGCGCCGGAGGGGCGGAGGUGGAGCUGGAGCUGGAGCGUGAGGAGGAGGAAGAGGCGGCGACAUCGGCGUAGGUCGACCUCCGACGAAUGAGGCGGAGGAAGCGGGGGCGGGGCUGCCGGCGGAGAGAAGGGCAUAGCAGGGUAUAACUUUUUCAAAAAGACCCCUAAAACCUCACAUAUUACAAAGAGGUCCACCGCAGCUAUUCCACACCGUUGAUCAUCGAUCCGACGGCUGAGGGAGAGGACUAACGCUGGAAUCGUAUUGUGCCACGUGGAGGGGUUGUUUGCACGCGAAUCGGCAGAGAUUUCGAAAUUAGAGAUUACGCCAAUGCAUCAGGUACAACAUUUAUAUCAUCCACGUAUACGUGGAAUAACUGUAAAAAAACAUUUGUGAUUAUUAUUUUUUAAUACUAAACUGCUUAAAAAUCGAUCAGUUAAAUUUAUCCACCGUAGUACAAUCGUUACGCUAACGCGUCAGGAACAUCGCUCAUAUCAUACACAUGUAAAGUGGAAUAUUUUAAAAAAAACUUUGUGAUUAUUAUUGAAAUACUAGACUGUUUAAAAAAUUGUUCAGUUAAAUUUUAUCCAUCGUGACAUCACUCUGUGCGCAAAUAUAGAGCAUAUUAUUUAUCUAAAAACAAACAAUUUUUUUUGAGCAGAUUAGUUCUCUAAACCAAACAAUACUUUUUGAUCGCUAUACACACUCCGUAAACACCCGGUGCAACGCACGGUCACUUUUGCUAGUCUAUAUAUAUAUAGCAUGUAGAUUCGAUAGUAAACAAUUUACUAGUAAAUUUGGGAGGGGUAGGGGGCGCCGGUGGUUGGGGUGCACGGGGGUGGGUUGGGAGGGGUGGGGGUAGGAUGUGAGGGGGAGCAUUUUAGCUACUACGUACGCCAGAUGCGGUAUAGUAUGUAUAUAUAUAUAUAUAUAUAUAUAUAUAUAUAGUAAAUUUGUUAGGGGCACCAUGGUGCCCGGGCUCCAUAGCCAUCCACCGUCCAAAUGCUUUAAGAUCCGUGCAACACACUAGAGGAUGCUAUCACACAUUAACGGGUCUAACCCGAUAAGAGUUGCAUGCAUAUACUUUCCUUAGAACAUGCAUGCAGGUAUUUCCAUUUUUACUGUGCAUGUAUUUCCAAAUUUGCGCCCUCUAAUCAUGCAUACACAUUAUGAUUAGCACUUUCCAUUUUCUAUAUCACAUUUCCAUAUAUACAACGUUUGCAUGCAGAUACUUACCUUUUGAAUCAUGAUUCGUUUUUGAAAAAUGACGCCAUUCCACUAAUUGCGAUUAUUGCCAUCUAUUUUCAAGAUUACAUUCCAUUUUCAAGAUGCACAUAUAACCGGCUACUGUAUUCCUUUUUUUGAUUUUUCUUUUCCACACUGUUUCACGGUCCAAGAGCUAGCUAUCCACAUCGUCUUCACCGAGUUACCUCGCCGGGAUUGCUCGCCAUGCCGUGAAGAGGGCCGACGUCCGUGGUUUUCGUCACCGACGACGUUCGUCCACAAGCCUCUUGCUGGAAACCAGAACUCCUCAACCAUUUUUGUCAAGCCAUCACAGCGCCUGAUGUCCAAGUGCCUUUUCGCUGCCGUCGCUGGUUGUUCGUGAGCUUCGGAACAGACAUUAUUCACUAGCAAGCUGCAUUACCUGAAAGGUAUGGAUCUCAGUGUUUAUCACUCACACAUCUUACAUUCACAUGCAGUCCCUGUUAUGUAUAGAUGAUUCGCCAUUCCUCUUCUUUUUAUCUACUAAACUGAGCACAUGAUGAAUCACCUGGAACCUAAAUUUAUAGAUUUUUUGUUGAAAUGCAGUUGAAUUUAGAUUGUUUUAGGUAUAUAACAUGCCCGUUCGAAUAUCUUGAUUUGCAUCCAGUGAAUAAAAUUUAGGUAGGUAGUGAAACAGCAGCAAUGUCUCUUUUACGUGGACAUCUCAAUUAUAAUCUUUGUAAAUAUAGAUUUAAUUAAUUUUAAAUUGAAGUAUAUGACCCGAAGAGAAUCAUAUUGCUUGUUUUAAUAAUGGUAGUUUUUAAUAGCAUGCCGCGGCUUCCAAAGUGUGCGAGCAUGAGAAGAAAUGUGAAGCGUCGUUCCAUUCACGAUGAUGAUGACUUUGUCACUCCACCUACAAGGAAGAAGGCUGUUCGUGUUAAAUUCGUGGCACCGGUUUCGCGUUGUGUACCAUCUUCCAUCACACCUAUCAUACAGAGAUUUAGUGCUGAAAAGAAAGAGCUGGUAGCUGAGAUAAUUAUGUCAUUCAUCUUGUGGGAUAUACAUGUAUACGUGUUCGCUCUGUCACUCAUAAACCUAUGUGUACAUGUACACCUGUAAAAGUACAGAUUAUGUCAUUAAUCUUGUGGUAUUCAGACGUGCAUUUUUUCACUCUCUCUCUAUCCCGUUGACUAUGGCCAAUUAGUACCGAAAUCACUCGUUGGUUACUAAAUUAAUCAAUUGAUACCCAAUUCUGACUGGAUCGAUCCAUGCUGACGGUAACAAAUUAUAUUAUGUAACCUAUCGGUCGUAAUAGCUAUAAAUAUUACCAUAAAUAAGAUCUUUAUACUUGGUAAUGAUAUUAAUUUUUUCAUUCCUUCCAACGGAGACACAAUUGCAACAUAUAAAGAGCAGAACAAUACGACUCUGCUCACUUCUGGUGCUCUCUCUGGUUCUCGCCAACAACACAUUUCUGUUCCAGGUAUGGCUCCAACUUAUCUGUACGUAUAUGUACUUCUCAUAUAUGUUGACCUCUUCUUAGUAUUCUGAAAUUUAUACUUAUAUUGCCAGUAGCUAUGGACAAGAUGAACACUAGUGCCCGGAGCGAGAAGAUCGAUCAGUCGCUGCAGAAGUAUGAUCACCCACGCUGCCGUUGGCACAUAUUAUUUGGUACGAAGUCAGAACUACACAACUUAUAUCAUGCACGCACAGCAAGUGAUUUUGAAGAUACUUGGACGGCCCUAGUCAAUGAGUAUGGUCUUCAAGAGGAGAAUGCAUAUCUCCAAAAGGCGCAGAUGUUAAUAGACGAUGAAACGAAGCCCAAUGAUUCACAGGUAAUUUAUUUUAAUAUAUUUUUGGUUCACGUUCAGCUCCAGUUCUGGAUUUGUCACUCCUGCUCUUAACAUUUUCCACUUGUUUUUUUUUCGUAGGAGAUAGAUACAGACCGUAAAGAUGUCAAGAGGGAGGUGGAGGCUCCUAAGUUGAUCAUUUCUCGUCAUAGUGAUGAUAAAUUCUCAUCCUAGUGAUGAGAAAUGAGACUCGCCCACCGUCUGAAUAGCAAACAUGAGGCAACAUGCAAGUACCAGCCGAAAAUCAACUCUCUGAUGGUGUGAUAUGGUUGCCAGCCAUCGGUCAAAUAAGCAGCCAUUUUGUGUUUUUACAUUUAUGAAUCACAAUCGUACUGUAAUAAUAAACUAGUUACAUCUAUAUUUAUAUUUAUAGAUCGUUUUUACUUUAAUUAGCAUAUGUUUCAUUUAUAUUAUGCUAAACUCCUAUGAUAUGUGGAUGAGCCAAUUCACCGAUAUUUUGUUUCCUUUCAGACUUCACUUAAGAGAUCUACUCUUCCAAUUCAGCAUAUUAAACUUCUAAAAGCGCAUCUAAAACACUGUGGAAAGAAAUUGAAUUUAAUCUAAAUCGGCACAUAUGGAAAAACAUGGUGGAAAUAAUAAUACACAGUACACACAUUUAAAUUUUAGAUAUACUUAAAAUCCAUGGUACAAAAAUAUACUUGGAUAUAUUUAUAUUAAAUUUUACAUCCGGACGUAACGACUUAAAAUAUACUUGGUUCCAAAUUUAAUUAGGAAAUAAUGUACUGUCAGCCUAGGUAGGCGAGUUUUAAAUUCUAAUAAUCUACAGUACACACAUUUGAAAUAUAGAUAUACUUAGAAACCAUGGUAUACAAAAAAUAUGCUUGGAUUAAUUUAUAUAAAAUUUUACAUCCGGACGUAAUGACUAAAAUAUACUUGGUUCCAAAUUUAAUUAGUUUCCAAACUUACUAUUUACAACAAUAUUAAAUGACAAUAAUAAAAUAUACCGUGUACACAAAUUGUAAAUUUAUAUACGCUUGGAUUCAUAAUAUAAUUAAAUUAACGUAAUUUAAAACUUUGUAUACUUAACAAGUUAGCUAAGUAUAUAGAAAAAAUAACCCGUGUAUACAUAGCCAUUACAUUACAUAAAUGAGUAAACAUUUUCUGAAUCUGGAAAGUGCAAAACGCACUAAUUUAGCUAGGUGUACAUAAGCAUACCAUAUACUUAGCCUCCAUAUAUACUUAUAUUCCAAUUACAUCGUUCAUGGUGUACUUAGGGUACCUCGGUUUCCUUAUAUAAUUAUUUUCAAAAUAACAGCAGGAUAACAUUUCCAUAUAUACUACAUCGUAGAAGUAUACUUAGAUUUUUCAUAUACCCUAAUAAACCGCAUUAUAUUUGUUGCCAAAUAAACCGCAAAUCCAUGAUUAUGGUGACAAAUAUUUAGAAACCAAAUAACGGCCGUGAACUGUUGAUGGAAAGGUAUUAAAGACGCUAAAUUGAUACUCCUAAAUAUUUUGCAUGCAUGCACACGCUGUCAAUUACCAAACCUAGGUAUUAAAGACGUUACUAAAUAUUUUGCAUGCAUGCACAUGCUGUCAAUUUCCAAAUCAAAUGUACUUAACGGGUGAACCCGUUAAUCAAAUAUACAUGUACCGAUCAACUAGAUGAGAAUGUGAUCCAACGGCAGAUGUCAGUGGUGCCCGGGCACCAUGGAGCCCUAUCUGGUUUAGGGUUUAGGGUUUAUAUGUAUGUAAAAUUGAUCUGGAAUGUGGCGGUUACAUGGGCCUGAACUGAUGUGAGGAGAAAAUUUGUUCUACUUGCUAGGACAUGAUAUGAUCUGGACAUGAAAACGGAAAACGUGGAGCAAUUUGGGAGGGGGCGAUAUGGAGGAAUCGGACCGGAAAAUCGUAAAAAAAUACGCACAGGGAGGAAAUGAAAUUGGACUGCGCAGCGCAUUAUACUGGGACAACGUACAAAAAUACUUGGCAAAAGCAUCUUAAACAUUUAUGAUAGGUAAAGAUCUACAUAUUUCAAUAAAAAAAAGUCCUACCUAAAAUUUAAAACUAACUCAAAAUUUGAAAACUUUGAACUCUCAACAUGAAAUUUGAACUUUCAACUCGAAUUUUGAAACUUUCAACCUGAUUUUAAAAACUUUCAACUUGAAUUAUGAAAACUUUCAACUGGGAAUUUAAAAACUUUUAACGCGAUUAAAAAAAUUUCUAACUCAAACUUCUAAAACUUUCAACUCGAAUUAUGGAAAAUUUCAACUGAAAAUUCAUGAUCUUUCAACUAUUUUUUAAAACUGUGAACUAUCCUUAAAAAAAAUAAUUAUUGAUGUAUUUUUUUUAAAAAAAAUAUUACUCCAGUACAUAUUACCAUUAGCGCUAAUUAGGUCAUUUGCGGACUAAUCACCCCGGGUGCGGGCAUCCCAAAUAAAAGCCUUCGCUCCACCCGUCUACGUCUGUUUGUUGUAUUCCCCUUCCUUACCCCCAAAAUCGAAAUCCCUAAUUCGACGCCAUGGCCGCGACUGGCGGCGCCGCCGGGGAGAAGACGGCCAGCAGCCUCCUGCUCGGCGUCCGGGGCUACACGUCCACCCUCAAGAACGCCUCCACCGCCAGCUGCAGGUUGAGCGCCGGCCAUCCCAUCGAGGUGACUUUGUGGGAGGCGUCCCCGCCUGCCCUCUCCCACUUCUCCGUCCACUGCCCCGAUCUCCCAUCCUUCAAUGGCAAUGUGCUUCGCGUGCCUGAAGCCAUCGCCGCCGCCGUCGACGACGCCGACGGCCAGCUCCUCCUCCUCCUCCGAGUCCCCAUCGAUCAGCUUGGUGCCCCGCAUAACAACGACUACUUGGUCUACCAUCCGGAUCCCCCGUCUCCGAAACUGGAUCUGCUCCCCAACCCGCCUCCCCCUACCCUCGGUGACCACCAGCUCGCCAUACUCAGCUGCGGCGACGACCGCUACGUCGUGGCCGCCCUCCACGUCUGGAGUGAGUUCACUUCCACGCUGCGCCUGUACAGAUCUUCUUGUUCGUCUGGGAGUUGGACAUCGGAGGAGGUGUCCGUGGAGGAGCCGGUGAGGGACAGGCUGUGCCCGAUCCCGGACUCAGCCAAGAGGCAGCUGUACCACGUCACCACCAAGACCAUCACGCUCGGAGGUGCGAAGGGCACCGUGGGCUGGGUUGAUCUCUGGCGCGGCAUCCUCCUCUGCGACGUGCUCGACGAAAUGUCUCCAAGGAAGCUCCGCGACAUGCCGCUGCCGUGGCCGGCCAAGGGCAAUUGGAGGAGGUACCUCAAUGAAGAUGUGUCCUUCUGUCGGGACAUCGCCAUCAGCCAACACAAGGAUUCCAUCAAGUAUCUGGAGAUGGAGAUCGUUUCGCCAAGAACGGUGACCACCACCAUACCCACCUCCACCUCUGCAGAUCCUACUUCAUACCUUGAAUGGGUUCGCCGCAGCAGAGAACCUCAGCCGACACGGCGACGCUCCGUGUUCCACCCUGGUUCGUGGAGAAUCACUACAUGGAGCAUGCCUAUCCCGGUCACUUCAUGGGACGACUGGCGCCGUGACUGCACUGCUGAAUCGCGUGAAGUCCAUCUUGACACCAACCCAAGUCACCAUUACGAGUUGCUUCAUAGCCUCAUGCUCAGCAACAGCGGUGAUGAACACAGGGAGGAGGCUCAAGGUCAAGGGGCAACCUCUUCCUUGUCCCUAGGACGCCUGUAUUUGAGUCACCCGGCCUUGAGUUGCAUCGAUGAUGAUGUUGUUUACCUCUUGGGCAACGCUGCCGGCAGGGGUGCUAAGACGGGAGGAAUGAUGGUCGCUGUUGACGUCAGGAACAAGGAGCUGCGAGGAGUGGCCAAGCUUGACCCCGAAAAGAACACCCUCUACUCCAUGCGAUGCUACCUUGCAACUGGGAUCUCCAAACGCCUCAACACUACCACAGGUACUUAAUUACCGCUCGUAUUCCAGAACAAAUGCAGCACCAUGUGCAUAUGGGUAAUAAAAUGCCAUUUAAGGAUCUAGGGCUGAUCAUUAUAGUUCUUUGUUUAUGAUGGUCCGAAUGACCAAACUAGGACUAGAAUGUAGUAACUUUAUUUAGGGUGAUAGGCUUGAUAUGUUGAUACAAGGGCAGAACAGUACCAAGAGUCCUUUUGGCAGAGUAGUACCAAUACUCAUUAUGCAAUAUACUGUUUUGUGUGAGUUUCAGACAAACGUUGUGUUUCUGACUGUACUUGCAAAAACAAAACCUGAACUUUGUUAACAGAAUAAAGACACCUCCACUAAAAUGUCGACGACUAAUGCAUAAAAUUACUUGCAUUCUUCGUGAAAAUUCAUAGCAGUAAAUGUGUCGUCACUCUUGUUUCCUUGUCAUUAUGCGUGUAAUAUAUUUUGCUAGCAUGCAUUUAAAUAUGAAGUAAUUAAUCAAAGUGCAUUCGUACCAUGUCAAAAGAACAAGAGAAUAGAGCAAGUAAUAAUAAGGUAGUACUUGACCAAAGCAUACUUGAAAAAGUAGUAUAUUGCUUUAGGUUUUGCUUUUCCUGUUGUACUCAAUGUGGACAACAUGAAUGCUCUUCCUCUUGAGUACUAAUUCUUGCUUCAAGGACAUUUUAUGAGAUAAUAGCUAUUUUAUUUGAUGUAGACACAAGAGUUGGACGACCUGAGGAGGAUGCAGAAGCCGCCGAGUAGAAUGUGCGAACCCAGUGACAUAUAUGCAUCAUACUGCAGCCUGCCUGGAUGCAAAUAUUAUCGUAUCAGUGGUUUGUUGGCUUGAAUGGGGGUUAAGGAGUUGUGCUGUUGCUGGGCAUAUAUAGUUUUGUGACAAGAAUCUUAUCCAGGUUGCUUACUUUGGGUUGAUGAUAAAAGUAGGAGUAGACGUUAAUAACAUUAAUAUAUGUUGGCUUAUUUUUUGAGGGGAUGUUGGCUUAUUUAUGUGGCACUAAUUGUCUUUAUGCCUUUGAGUUAAACACAAAACAAUGAUCCAACUCUUUGAACCUGUUUGUUUCAAGUAAUGAGUUAAUGAAUUUUUCACCACUUGGAGUCCUCCCUCAAACUGGAUCUGCUCCCCGCUGCCUCAAACUGUUUUUUUUUUUUGAACGAAUGUGUUUUCUAAGUUCAUUCUCAGAACAAUGCCCGCCAUCAGAUUCAUCGACUAGCAUAGCAAGACAGUAUAACUUUUUACCAAAGAAAACUGAUUAUAUAGUAUAUAUAGAAUACUUGUCUUACACACAGUGACAAUCCAACAAUAUCUAUGCAACAGGAAUAAUAUGUUAGUGUGCAGAUCAUACCCUCUCAACUCUGAACUCUUCUGCAGCAGGGAGUUCAAGAUAUAUUUUGUACAUAGCUGACAGUGCACCAUUCCGGACAGCGGGACAGAGAAGCUCCAAUCAAAAGUCUCCGAUGUUCUGUCUUAUCUUCUAGGUUUUCGGGCUUGGCUCAAUUGGAAAGGCCCAAUUGAUUUUGGGCUUGAGUACAACCCAGCAUAAGGCGCCACCGAUUAGGCCCAAGCCCAACGUUAAGCCUUCAAGCAGAGGGAGAACCAAAAAAAAAAAAAAAAGUUCACUUCCGAUCCAGCGCCAUGGCCGCCGCCGCCGCGGAGAACGCGGCCAGCGGCAGCGUCCGAGGCUACACCUCCGCCGGUAAGAACGCCACCACCGCCAGUUCGAGAACGAGCACCGGCCAUCCCAUCGAGGUGCAUUCUGGAACGAGCCGCCGCCGCCCGCCUGCCCUCUCCCACUUCUCCGUCGUCCACUGUCCCGAUCGCCCGGAGUUGGACAUGCCAGGAGGUGUCCGUGGAGGAUCCGGUGAGGGACAGGUUGUGCCCGAUCCAUCACUCAGCUGAGAGAGCCAUAUGUACCACCUGACCACCAGCCAAGACCAUCAUGCUCGGAGGCGCAAAGGGCACCGUCGGCUGGGUCGAUCUCUGGCGCGGGCAUCCUCGUCUGCGACGUGCUCGACGAAAUGUCUCCGAAGAAGCUCCGCGACAUGUCUCCGAGGAGUGGCCAAGCUUGACACCACAAAGAACACCCUCACCUCCAUUCGAUGAUACCUUGCAACUUCCAUCUCCAAACAUCUCAACACUACUACCUGUAGUAUACUCAAUUAAUUACCGCUCCUUGUUGUCAUGUCUGUUAUUUGCGUGCUGUUCUACGAGAGAUUAAUCUCUUUGGCUUAAAUUUCUGUCUCAAUUCUUAACAUGCAUAACAGAUUUUAAUCGGUCAAUAUAUAAGUUAGGCUAAACUUUGUUGUGUUCCUUUGCUUGCCGGCAUGUAAGUUCCGAAGAAUUUUGUUUAAACUCUACAAUGUUUGGCCAAGAAAAUUUCUCAUAUCUAGCUAAGAAGAACUAAAAGGAAAAGAGCUGCUGCUCUUGUUCGCCAGUAAUCUGCAUCAAUGGAUAGUGUAUACUGAUCAUUCCGGCGUUGACAUGGCGAAAAGUAUUUUGUCAAUAGGAAGGAGGAGAAUCACACGCCAAGUGCAUGCAUGAUUUUUCAAUUCAUUUCAAGGCAAAGUUUCUAGACAAAGCUAGGUUCUCGAUAAGCCGGCCACUUUGAUUUGAUGACAAUUAGGUUAAUUAAGGCAAUCUUCUUGCCUUUCCUUUUCUAUCAAUAGUGGACAAAGGUGAGAGCUGAUAUUUAUUAUAUCCUGUUAGCCAUUCAGAAAGUGCUUUCCAUGACAUUCCAAACGAAAUGAUAUUUUUCUCAUGUUCAGUCGGCCAUGCAUCUUCAGUUUAACUAAACAAGACCAAAAAAAAAAAAACUUAUAUCCAACAUAAGAUAUAUAUGCCCUAUGAGCAUAAACGCACUCAGUGAUAAAAUAUACUAGUAAGAGGUAAAGCUAAGGUGAAUGCUGACAAGAGACAAGCCCAUCUGUCCCUCAAAGAUAACAAAUACUACUACUGACUGAAACAAAAUUAAAGCAUGAUAGCCACUUCUGAAUUUCUGAAUGGCUGAAGGGGAAAAAAAUUGAACAGGAUACUGCAUGCUGAUCGAGUUGAACAAGUAAGAAAAGGUGUUCAUCUUUGCAGAGACAAGAUCUAACACAUUUCUAACUGCAGAGGUAGUUCAUAGCAUCCAUCGAUCACCUACACACAAUAUCCUCUCUCAUGCCUGACCCCUGCACAAACGCACACCGGAUUGCAAAUACACAUAAUUUAGAUCUUUCUAAUGAUUUUGUAUCGUCAAAUAAUCUUGCUUGUUUUGGUCGACCUUCAGAAUUGAGUUGAUGAAGUUCGUCGCAGUGAGCUCUUUGUAGGCAUCACCAGUGCAGCAACCUCCUGUUUCAGCUGUCCAAGCAGAAGUACAAGUGCUCGUCACAUGAAUGAUCAAAUCACAACAUUUCAAAAGUAAUGAGUUAUUAUCAACUACUACCUCCAUCCCAGAAUAUAAGAACCUAUGGUCAGAUGGGAUGUUUCCUAGCACUACGAAUCUGGACAAAAAUAGAAAACGCAUCAUCCGAUUCUAGAUUCUUAUAUUCUGAGACGGUGGUAGUAAUUAAUUAGUGAUGUGAAGAUCACUUGUGAAUUGAAUUAGUGAUGAGUACCUCUUUGCACUGCUUCUUGAGAUUCAAGUUGUCAUCCACCAGCCGGCGAACCUCUUUCUCUAGCUCUUCAACGUACGCCUGCAUAACAAAUUACUUCACAAUUAAUACAAUCUGAAUCGUAUUAAUAUGACAGAACUGGAUUCAUUGACAAGUAGGCAGUCUGUUUUUUUUUUGGGGAUGCUUAUUGCCCUUUUGGUAGGUACAAAUGCAUGGUUAGUUCUGAAAUGGAGUACCUCUAGAGUCUAGAGAGGUUAGAUGGAGACGGUAAAAGGAGCUCCUCACUAGCAGCAGGUGUGAUCCAAUUAAUUCAUAGUGCAGUCCUAUUCAGAUGAUAGAUAGUCGAGAUAAUGCCAAGCUAGUUUUCAUAUUUUCCUCUUGUCCCGAUCAACUUAAGUUCUUUAUGCUUAUUUAAUUAGUCCGUACCUAACAAGAGAAGUAUAUAUUAGCGUGAGACUAUCUGUUAAAAUAUCUCAAGCAUACGAGGAAGACUUUUUCUUGGGGGCAGGAGUAGUUAAUUGUGAUGUAAGCUGAGUCUAACGUGGUGAUUAUAUUUUGGGAUACCUUGUGUCAUGCAUCGACCCAAAUAUAGUUAAUAUCAACUGGGACAUUAUGUUCAUUUCUUUUUUGCUUAGAAGGUUCGAUUUGUCGUUGUUAACAGUCUCUAUUUAAUCUGGAACUCUUACAAAUUCAGGGGCACCAAUUUUCUCUAAUGUUUAAUCAAGAAAGAGGAUACAUGUAGCAAUUAGCAAAUCAUUCAAGAAAAGAACAUAAUUGCACAUUCGUUUUUUCGAUGGUAAUUGUGUUAACUACUUAACUUUAGGAGUGAUUUGGGAUAUUUACUAUUGAUGAUCUAUUGAGUUGGCCUAAAGGGCAUAUAUGCGUACAAGGGAUGGAAAAUAUAUAUAAUACCCAUGACUACACUACUAUUGUUAACAAAUUGCACAUUCUUUUUUUCCGCACAUUCUUUUUUUAUUAUUAUGUACUAUUAAUUAGUGAUAUAUAUAUAUAUAUCACAAAUUUCCAAUAUGCAUGGAGAGACAAGUAGACACCAUGUCCACGAGGAUAUCAUACAUAUAUAUACACUCUCUGGUAUGGGCCCUUUCUGCUGGACUUGGAAUCUUGGAUUAGGUGAAGCUGACUUAAUUUUGAUAUUAAUUAUCACACAAGUGCCUGCUUGGAUGAUGAUAGACUGGUAAUAAAAGAAAGGGCACUAAUCAAAGAAGAGAUAUGCAUAUUUAGGCCAUAUUGACUAAACAUUAUCAACAGGAACCUAUGCAUGAUGCAAGAGAUAACACACUCCAUCAACUUUUUAGUUCUUUAACAAAUUGACCAAACUUGGUCACUAUACUCGAGAGUUUCACUCCAUACAGUAUCUGCCCAAGGUACACACAGAUAUCUCCUCCAUGCACCAUCAUCAAGGAUAUUAUGUAAAAUAUAUAGACUAACUCCUUUAUGAAAUGUAAUGAAAUUUGUUCAUAUAUAUUCAGUUGUGUAAACUAACCAGUUCAGCUCAGCUCAAAAACUUAACGAUGAAUAACGACGUGACUGCAAUUUACUGAUAAUUCAAUGUGCAAAUUAUAUAAUUUCGCCUGCUACAAACUUCUAUUGAAAACCUAAUUAAUUAAAUUAUCGCAUUCCAACAAUGACCUUAUAAGUGAUCGACUUAUUAGCAGCAUUUUAUUUUUGUGAAAGAUCCAGUUUUAAUUAAAUUCUAAUUAUAUUCAGUUUUUGAAAAGAGAAAUUUCCAUGUUAAUUACUCCCUCCGGACAUAAUUAAGUACAUGCCGGCCGUUUCAGACAAUUAAAUUGGCCUGCGUUUAAUAGAACGGAAUUGCUUUGUCGGAAAGCACAAGUAAUAUUGAUCGGAGAGAGUACAUAUGAGAACAUUUGUUGAUGAUCAGUAGUAAUUCAUACCGUACGUUAUAAACACAUACGUACAUAAAUACUGUAGUAUGAUACGUAUAAUUAUACGUAUUUGGUAUUGUAUAUACGUACGUACCCUCUUGCGCGCCCUGGAGCGAAGCGCGGACUCCCGGUUCCUCAUCAUCCGGAUGGUCCUCCGGUCGUCGCCGCUGCCGCCGCUCUGCUGCCGCACCUCCAUGUCCACCUCGUCGCCGCCGGGGGUACUGGCGCCGCCGGCGAUCCCGGCGAGCGACACCGGCGUGGCGGGCAGCGCGGCGCCGGCGAGGCGGACGCCGCCGCCGUCGUCGUCGUCCCUCAGGGUGGAGAUGGAGAAGAGGGAGCUGCAGCCGCUCAUGAUGCUCAGCUGCGGGCUGUCCGGCUCCCUCGGCCACGCCACCGCUGCCGCCGCCGCCAUCUGGUAGUACUCCUGGUGGUGGUAGUUCGCCAUGGCCGCACCCUGCACCUGCACCUUCUUGCUUGUAGCUGCAGGAUCCUUAAUUCGAUCGCCAACAGCUGCAGUUAGUGCUCCUUGCUUUUGGUUGUUGUUGCUAAGCUUGUCUCUGGCUCUCUCUCUCUCUCUCUCUCUCUCUCUCUGGAUGUCUACAUAUAUAUAUAUAUAAAUCAGACUUAAUUAAGCUAGCUUCAUGAGACAGCUAGCUCAACAGCUGCUAGCUUUUAAGCCUUUAAGUACCAACAGUGUCAUUAUGCGUGUAAUAUAUUUUGCUAGCAUGCAUUUAAAUAUGAAGAAGUAAUUAAUCAAAGUGCAUUCAUACCAUGUCAAAAGAACAAGAGAAUAGAGCAAGUAAUAAGGUAUUGACCAAAGCAUACUUGAAAAAGUAGUAUAUUGCUUUAGGUUUUGCUUUUCCUGUUGUACUCAAUGUGGACAACAUGAAUGCUCUUCCUCUUGAGUACUAAUUCUUGCUUCAAGGACAUUUUAUGAGAUAAUAGCUAUUUUAUUUGAUGUAGACACAAGAGUUGGACGACCUGAGGAGGAUGCAGAAGCCGCCGAGUAGAAUGUGCGAACCCAGUGACAUAUAUGCAUCAUACUGCAGCCUGCCUGGAUGCAAAUAUUAUCGGAUCAGUGGUUUGUUGGCUUGAUUGGGGGUUAAGGAGUUGUACUGUUGCUGGGCAUAUAUAGUUAGGCUGUGUUCGUUUGGACGUUUUCCCAGCGCCCUACAGUGUUUUGCCCCUCGCGCACGCUUUUCAAACUACUACACGGUGUAUUUUUUUGCAAAAAGUUUCUAUACAAAAGUUGCUUAAAAAAAUCAAAUUAAUCCAUUUUUGAAAAAAAAUUAGCUAAUACUUAAUUAAUCACGUGUUAAUGAACCGUUCCGUUUUCCGUGUUACUGUAGCGCGCUGGAAAAACGUCCAAACGAACACAGCCUUAAUAGUUUUGUGACAAGAACCUUGUCCAGGUUGCUUACUUUGGGUUGAUGAACCCCUCUAUAAAAGUAGUAGUAGACGGUAAUAUUAAUAUAUGUUGGCUUAUUUAUAUGGCACUAAUUGUCUUUAUGCCUUUGAGUUAAACACAAAACAAUGAUCCAACUCUUUGGACCUGUUUGUUGCAAGUAAUGAGUUAAUGAAUUUUUCACCACUUGGAGUCCUCCCUCAAACUGGACCUGCUCCUGAACCCGUCUCCCCACUGCCUCGGUGACGGUGACCAUGAGGUCACCAUACUUAAACAGAUGAUUUCCUACGCGUUGCUGCGGGAAUUGGUAUAAAACUUCUGUUAGCAAAUUUGAUGAUAAGAAAUUUAGGAGGCAUUAUAUUGGGUAUAUAUAAACAUGCUAGCUAUACCUUAGAUCAAAAUAGAACUGGAAAACAUUAUAAUUUAUAAGAAAAACUUAACAUACAGAAAAAAACUGCUUUGUUAUUUUGCAGGUGAUUGAAAAUCUUCAAUCUGUCAGUCGAUUUUUAUACCCAUUGCUUUUUUGGAAUGUGCAAAUUUUUAGCAAAAACUUUUGCAACUUUUUAGGAUUUAGCUGCAAGUUUUCGAAAACUAAAAAUUUGAAUGUUCUCAGUAAUGUUAUAUAUCAGAAAAAUGGCUGUAGGGCCAGUUCCGAACUGCUUGUGCUUUUUGCAUUUUGUUUUCUUUUUUUUUUAUUUUGCCACCCUUGAAUGCUUGCUGCAUUGUGUAUCUAGGUACCUAGAGUAAUAUUUUUUUUUAUUUCCGCACCCUUGAAUACUUGCUACUGUUGUGUAUCUAGGAAAUUUUCCUCUAGGUAUUUUACCUAUUUUUGUGAUUUUUCUAAGAAUAAAAAAAUGCAAUCAUGUGCAACUUAAGUUAUAAAUAUGCACAACUUUAGUUAUAAAUACGUGCAACUUAAGUUGCAAAUUAAUGAGAAUUCUUAGAAUAUUUUGGUUUAUUUCCCAGCAUAAGUUUUGUUGUCGGGUUUUUUCCUUAAUUGUCAGUCACAUACACUUGCAAAAUGCAUAGACUAAACUUGCAGAGUUUAACAUCAUUUACUUAAGAACAAAUACCUAGUUCUGUUCUUGUUGCUUCCAUCCAAUUUCCAAUUGCACAAUGCAUAGACUAAACUGGCUUGUACUGAAGAAUCUGUUUGUCUUUUCAGUUCCUUGGUUAAUCUUUUAUUUGUAUGCAAUUUUGGUUGUAUGGAUGGUGAUUUUUUUUUGUUAUCUGCAUGUUUCGCUGUAAUUGAUGGUAUGAAUCUUUUUUUUUUGUUUUGCUAUGAGAUGAUUGCAAAUUUGUUUUGACAGGGAUAUAUAGAGUUGUUUUUUGCUAGACUGUACAUCUACUAGCAUUUUUUGUUGGGAAUGAACACCUUUUGUACAUAAGAGUUGGAUACUAUUUUGUGAUUCUAGAAGAGCUGGACACUAUUUAGCUUGAUUUUCUUCUGUACAUGCAGCUUCCGUCCAAUAUGCAAUGGCAUGAACUGGCGAUAUGUUUUUUUUUUCCGGGGAGAGCUGGCGAUAUGUUGCAACUUGCAAAUGCUAGUAGGUUUUGUUAUGCUUGCCUAAAAGAAGUUAGUACUUGACAUACUAAUAAUAAGUAAAGUCCCAACGUUUACUAUUUUAUCUCAGUUUGCUUCUGUAGCUGUUGAGUUUGCUUCUGUAGCUGUUGCUUCCAUCUAAUUUGCAAUGGCAUGAAAUGGCUUGUACUGAAAUAUUAUGCUUUUGGACUGGUGAUAUGUAGCAAGUGCUAGUAGGUUUUCUCGUGUGCUUGAAAAAUGCUUGUACUAGGCAUAUUAAUAAGGAGAUUCAAUGUGUAUGUAAUCUAACCCUCACUAAGCGUUGAAUGCUGAGCGAUUCAGAGAACAUAUUUUUCUUUUCGAUCGAGUGCAUUUGCACCCUCCAUCCCAAAAACAAUACUUUUUAACCAUGUGCAACUUCAAUUAUAAAAUUGUGAAACUUCACUUAAAAUUUUGUAAAGCUUUGAUUUCUUAAUACAACCUUUUUUGUUUUUGUGUGUCUAAGCAUGGAAUCCAGGCUUAAAUAUGUUUCAGUUCUACUUAGGUGGUAUGUUUUUCCCCACAAAAUUAGUGAAACGUGUCUGAAAUGCUCAGAAGAUGAAUUUGUUAGCAAUUAGCAACAACGUGAACGUGGAAUGAGUUUGGAUGCGUGAAUCAGGAUGGGUGCGUCGAGGGGAUUUUUUUUUGGUAGAUAGAUAUUGGCUGUUUAUAUAGUUGAAACUCCAACUUUACGUCGAGUUAACCUGUCAUCCCUUAUCUUUACGUCGAGUUUGUAUGACAUUCCUAAUCCACGAUACUAGAAAUCUUCAUCCCCUAAAUUAUAUAAAACAGUGUAAUUUAGAUUAUAUAGCAGUAUAUAAUGUUGGAUAGUACAGGGAGAGAGGAUAUUGCGAAUCGUGGAUUGACUGUAUUGAGCCUCAGAGGGCUGAUAUACAUAGGAGUACAUGGAGAGGAGAUAAGGAAGGAUUACAGAUAUAGGAGUCUACACAAAUCAAUCAUAUCCUAAUAUGACUCUAACAUCCCCCACAGUCCAAGCGUGAGCAGCGUGGACACUUGGACUGGAGAAGAAACCGGCAAGAGUACUCAAUACGGAUGAUAGCCCUGUGUACCGUAGUCAAUGUAGCCAAAGCGAAGGGUGCAAGGGAGCCGUAGUUGAUGAAGCCGUGUGUAGAGUAGCCGUGGUCGUUGUAGCCGAAGUCAGGAAGCUGAUGUCGAGGUAGCCGAGCCGCAGGACGCGCAUAGGGCGCCGUAGAGUGGUCGUGGACGCACGGGAGGGGCGUCGUGGACCAAGGUGCGCGAGGAUGCACUGGAGACGAAGACGGUGACACAAUCACGGCAGUCGUUGAGGAAGAUGACGCCGAAAAGCCGAUGUAGUCGAACCGUGAAGGACGAGACGUCACACAGGGUGUCACGCCCCGAACCAGUCCCGACCGGAACUAGCCCGUGACGCUCCAAAUUAACCUGUUAAUCGAUACCAGUCCCAGGAAACAGUGCUGGUAUCACAGGGAGACAGAAUAUCACAGCAACAGAGGUCUCUUUAUUAUAGAGUAGAGGUACAGUCAUGUUGGGCUGCGGACAGAUCCCGAGCUCACAACUGCAUUACAAAAGGGAAACGGAAGCCAGGACUUGGACCAAUCAACACAGGCGCGACUUGGGAACUAGGCUGAAACCCUAAAACUCAUCGUAGCCGGCUUGCUCCUGGAAGAAGUCCUCAUCAGCAGGUUUCGCUUCAUCUUUUUCAGCAACUGGGGGGGGGGAUUUUUUAUAUAGAGCAAGGGUGAGUACGGGAGUACUCAACAAGUGUCACGCCCCGAACCAGUUCCGGCUGGAACUAGCCCGUGACGCUCCAAAUUAACCUGUUAAUCGAUACCAGUCCCAGGAAACAGUGCUGGUAUCACAGGGAGACAGAAUAUCAUAGCAACAGAGGUCUCUUUAUUAUAGAGUAGGAAUAUAGUCAUGUUGGGCUGCGGACAGAUCCCGAGCUCACAACUGCAUUACAAAAGGAAAGCGGAAGCCCGGACUUGGACCAAUCAUCACAGGCGCGACUUGGGAACUAGGCUGAAACCCUAAAACUCAUCGUAGCCGACUUGCUCCUGGAAGAACUCCUCGUCAGCAGGAUCCACUUCAUCUUCUUCCGCAACUGGGGGGGGAUUAUUUAUAUAGAGCAAGGGUGAGUACGGGAGUACUCAGCAAGCCAGGGGAAAAUAAGUGUUUAAUGCAGGCUUCAAGGAAAGGCUGUUGUUUUUGCAAUUGAUUUUAUUUGAACUCUUUUCUAGAAGCAACUAAGUGAGUGCUUCUCAAACGACACGGAUGAGGCAGUGCGUCUCGUCCGGUCGGAGUAUGUGCAAUGUAUCAGUCUUUAGAUUUGAACAAGAUUGGCACCCGGCCAAUAGCUUUUUAAACGGCCACCCGGGCCAACACCUUUCAAACGGCCACCCGGGCCAACAACUUUUCAAACGGCCACCCGGGCCUAGCUGAUCCCGUCAGCUGCGGAUUCUUUUCAAACAUCGAACCCGAUUUCACAUCAGCAAUUUCACAAGCAGUAGUCAAACAAAACUACGCUAGGAAUCACCUCACAUCCGCCCAUGACCGUGGGCACGGCUGUUCGAACAGUUUGUUAACCUCUGCAGAGGGGGUACACUUUACCCACACGACAUUACUAACCCGGGUCACCCAGCCCGUGGGGAUCAGCCACGUCGGGAGACCUCCAAGCUUUCAUGACAAGGCAUUUCGAAAGCCGACACAGGUUUACCAUAUGCCGACGAGAGGGGUCCCAGACCAACAACAGGUUAGGUCCCAGACCAUACUGUGCCAGGAAGCCCAGGGGUCCUCCCCGACACCACCCCGGCGAAUCCACAUGUCUCUCGGCAUCAAGGCUCCCCUGAUAAGCUAGUUACUCAGCCAGGGGUGUCCCAUUCCACCCAUGUGGUCGUACUUGUCUUAUGUUUGGAUGAAAUUCCAAGGAAUCGGUCCUUAAGUGCGAGAGCGGGAAACCGUACACCCGGUACGUUCCCCGGUCCGCGGAUUUGGAAAUUCAUUUAGUUCGCAAGCACCGACCCAGGUGUCGGGUUUUCCAAGUCUUUUGUAAAACUCCAGUUUUACCCAAGUUGUUACUUCAGAUUUUAAAUUUGAAGGCGACCGUCGAUAUUCGCACAGAGUGCACGAAUAUCGCGUCGCAUCUGGGUGGUUACAAGGGGACAUGGUGUAACAAUUAACAACGGAUGGAUCAAAUGCAACAAGUUAGGUAGGUCCGCCAAUCUGCCUUGCAGACGGGACAACAGAUUAAGUGUGAUCCUAUCAAUGCAUAAUAUUUUGCAAGCAAUAUAAUUAAAUUUCAAAUAUAGGCUCAAGUUGUUCAAAGGUGGCUUGCCUUGCUCGAGAUCUGGAGCUUGAUCCUCGAAAUCCUCGCACUGCGGGUCUUCGGGCUCCGAAACUACACGCGAAACGGGACAACUCAACAAACGGCGAGAAUAAAGCCCUAUUAAUGACCCCUAAGCGUGCCAUUAGAUAGAUCUCGAGAUUUGGGAAAUUUUGGAAGUUGAACGGAGUCAAAUGGAGUUAUGGUUGGAAAGAUAUUGAAUUUCUAAGGUUAUUGGAUUUUUGGUCUAAAGGAAAAAGGAUUUAAUUAAAUCCCUUUUGGAAAAAGAAAAAGGAAAUGAUGAAGGGAGGGAAUCUAGACUUUCCUCGGGCGGCUAGGGCGCGGCCCAAAGGUAUUCGGCUCGGUCCGGCCGAGCUAAACGGGCCGGACGGCCCAAGGCGGCCCAUUUACGCGCGCGCGCGGGAGAGGAGAGAGAGAGAGCCGGUGGACCGGGCUCACCUCGCGCGGCCCCGGGUGGGACCCGCUUGUCAGCGGCUCGGCCCACCGUGCGGAGGGAGCACGCGGCGCAUGCGCGCGGGCGGAAGGGGGAAAGCGGUGUACGCGCGGUUUACGGAGGACUCGGGUGCGGCGGGCCCACGCGCAGCCUCACGGCUUGCGGUGGAACGCGCGCACGGGGAGGGAUCGGCCGGGGUCGGCCCGUCCCGAGCUCAGCCGAGCUGGCGCCGACGUGGCGCUUACGUGGCGGCCACGUGGGCUGGCAGGAGGUAGACGACGACCGACCGCAAAUGAACGGCGGGCGACGGCGGCGAGCGGUAGAGCGGGCCACGGCGAUACCGGCGAAGGCGAGCACGCCGGGCGGUAGUACGGGACGAGAGGAGACGAGCCAACGGCUCGGAUUCGCCGGAGGUUGCUCGGCGGCGGCGGAUUGCGGCGGCGGCAACCGGCGGCGGGAGAAGAGGGAAACGGCGAUGAGGCCACGAGAGGUCGAUUUCCGGCGGUGAGAGCAUCUACAAGGCCACGGGAACUCGAUGCUAGGGUUGGAUUGGACGGAGCUAUGCCGAGCUGGGCUGGCGACGUGCGGCUACUUCGGAGCUCGGGCGGCGACGGCGGCGAGCACAUGGCGAACAACGGCAUCGGUCGGGGCGGCGCCGGCCAACUACGGGAGGUCUACUCGAGCUAAAACCGAAGUCUAAGGGGGGGAGACGGAGCGAGGAGGGAGAACGAAGCGAAACAUCACCGCGGGAAGGAGGGGCGCUGUGACGAGAGGCCGACGGCGCGGGAGUGAUCUCUCCGGCCUCGGGCCGGGGAAGAGGAAGAAGAGGCGCGGCCGGAGUCCUCUUCGGCGUCCUCGCUCGUGCCGGCUCCUCCGACACGCGCGGCGACGUUUGGAGACGGCGAAAAUAGAGACGGCAGUGGAGGAGGCGAAAAUGGGGAGGAAAGGAGAAGGGGAAGGCCGGGGGUUUAAGGAGGCGGCAAUGUCGGUUUGGGGAACCGACUUGCGCGGUCAAGAGCGCGAGCUGGCUCUCGGCUAGCGGCCAAAGCGGUGGCAGACGGGAUGACGCCGGCGGGAGAGGAAAAAGGAGGAAGGGGAAAAGGAGGAGGAGAAAGGAAUUCUCUCCUUUGCCGAUUCGGGAAAAAGAGGGUGGGCGCGGGGCGACGACGCGGCAGAGGGAGGUGAGGCACGGCCUCCGGGCCUUGGCGGCUAGCGCGCGGAGUGGCGGGGGCCGGCGAUGACGACGGCGGGCGGUUUGGAGCGGAGCGGCGACAGCGGCGACUGGCGCGGGCAGAGCUGACGGCGGCGGCGACCGGGCGGUCGGCCACUCGGCUUGCGCGGGCGCGAGGCAACGGGCGACGGCGCGCGGGGGAGGGAAAAGCGGGGCGCGGGCGGCUCACGCGCGCACGCGCGCGGCGCGCGGGCAAAGCGGCGGGAUCGGGAGAGAGCGAGGGAGCGCGAGGGAGAGAGAGAGAGAGAGGGAAAAGGGCCGGGGAGAGAUGGGCCGGGGGAGGCAAGGUAGACUUUGCGGAGGAAAUGAUUCGGAAGAUUUGGAUUCGGAAUUUGAGCUCGACGAUAGAUCGGGGAUUGAGAUCUUGAGAUGGCACGGACACUAGACAACAAUCAAAGGAACAAAUUUCGCAAUUAGGGUUUUUGAGAGAUAAUUUUCCCGCUAGGCGCCACGACGGAACGGGCGCUACAACAAGCCAUGGGAAAUAAGUGUUUAAUGCAGGCUUCAAGGAAAGGCUGUUGUUUUUGCAAUUGAUUUUAUUUGAACUCUUUUUUCUAAAAACAACUAAGUGAGUGCUUCUCAAACGACACGGAUGAGACAGUGCGUCUCGUCCGGUCGGAGUAUGUGCAAUGUAUCAGUCUUUAGAAUUGAAACAAGGUUGGCACCCGGCCAACAGCUUUUCAAACGGCCACCCGGGCCAACAACUUUCAAACGGCCACCCGGGCCUAGCUGAUCCCAUCAGCUGCAGGUUUUUCAAACAUCAAACCCCUUUCCACAACAGCAAUUUCACAAGCAGUAGUCAAACAAAACUACGCUAGGAAUCACCUCACAUCCGCCCAUGACCGUGGGCACGGCUGCGGGUCUUCGGGCUUCGAAACUAUACGCAAAACGGGACAACUCAACAAACGGCGAAAAUAAAGCCCUAUUAAUGACCUCUAAGCGUGCCAUUAGAUAGAUCUCGAGAUUUGAGGAAUUUUGGAAGUUGAACGGAGUCAAACGGAUUUACGGUUGAGAAGAUAUUGAAUUUCUAAGAUUAUUGGAUUUUUGUCUAAAGGAAAAGGAUUUAAUUAAAUCCUUUUUGGAAAAGAAAAGAAAAGAAAAGAAAAGAGGGAGGGAAAAUAGACUUUUCCUCGGGCGGCUAGGGCGCGGCCCGAGAGAAUUGGGGCGGUCCGGCCGAGCUAAAUGGGCUGGGCGGCCCAAGGCGGCCCAAGACGCGCGCGCGCGGGAGGGGAGGAGAGAGAGCGCCAGUAGACCGGGCUCACCACGCGCGGUCCCGAGUGGGACCCGCUUGUCAGCGGCUCGGCUCGCCGUGCGGAGGGAGCACGCGGCGCACGCGCGCGGGCGGGGAAGGGAUGCGGUGCACGCGCGUGGUCCGCGGUGAAACGGAUGCGGCGGGCCCACGCGCAGCCUCACGGCUCGCGGUGGAACGCGCGCACGGGGAGGGGCUGACCGGGGUCGGCUCGACCCGGUCUUGGCCGAGCUGGCGCCGACGUGGCGCCUACGUGGCUGCCACGCGGGCUGGCGGGAGGUAGACGACGACGCCUGCCGGAACGGACGGCGGUCGACAGCGGCGAGCAGCGGAGCGAACCACGGCGAUACAGGCGAAAGCGAGCACACCGGGUGGUUGCUCAGGUCGAGGAGAGACGAGCCAACGGCUCGGAUUCGUCGGAGGGAGCUUGACGGCGACGAAUUGCGGCGGCGGCAAGCGGCGGCGGGAGAAGGGGGAAAUGGCGACGAGGUCACGAGGGGCCAAUUCCCGGCGGUGAGAGCAUCUACGCGGCCACGGGAAUCCGUUGCUAGCGUCGGAUUGAGCGGAGCUACGCCGAGCGAGGCCGGCGACAAGCGGGUGCUACGGAGCACGGGCGGCGACAGCGGCGAGCACACGGCGAGCGGCGGCAACGGUCGGGGCGGCGCCGGCUAGCUACGGGGAGGCUACUCGAGCUACUACCGAAAAUUUAGGGGGAGAGGUGGAGCGAGGAGGAAGAACGGAGGGAGGCACUACCGAGAUGAGGAGGGGCGCUGUGACGAGAGGCCGACGGUGCGGGAGUAAUCUCUCCGGCCUCGGGCCGGGGAAGAGGAGGAAGACGAGCGCCCGGAGUCCCCUUCCGCGUCCUCGCUCGUGCCGGCUCCUCCGACGCGCGCAACGACGAACGGCGUCGGCGAAACAGAGGGGCGGCAACAAUGGAGUGGAGGCGAUGGGAGGAGAAGAGAGGGAGGGCGCCCGGGGCUUUAAAGGGCGGCAAUGUCGGUUUGGAAACCGACUUGGGCGGUCAAGGCGCGAGCUGGCGCUCGGCGCUCGCGUCCAAAUCGGCGACAGGGCGGAGGGAGGAUGACGCCGGCGGGAGGAAAAUGGGAAAAGGAGGGAGAGAAAGGGGAGCUCGCCCUUUGCUUCUUUGGGAAAAGGAGGAGGGGAGCGGGGGCGACGCGGCUGAGGGAGGAGGGCUCUGCCUCCGUCCCUUGGCGGCUUGCGCGCGGAGUGGCGGGGCCGAGGCGAUGACGGCGGGGCGAUUUGGAGCGGAGCGGCGACACGGGCGACAGGCGCGGGCAGAGGCUGACGGCGGCGGCGACCGGGCGGUCGGCCACCACGGCACGCGCGCGCGGGAUGCAACAGAAGGCGCGGCGGAUUGAGAGGCGCGGCUCGGGCACGCGCGCUGGCUGCGGGGCCGAGCGGCUGCGCGGCCGCAGGCGCGGCAGGGCAGCGGGGCCGGGCGGCGCAGACGCGACGCGGGCGAGGACCACGCGGGCGCGCUCGCGCGAACGAGCGCGGGGAGCGGCAGCGAGGGAGCGGAGAGAAGGGCUCGGCUCGGCGCGGGCGGCUCACGCACACGCGCGCAGACAGAGCGGAGGAGGGAGGGGCGCUUGGCGCGGCGGCUCACGCACGCGCCGGCAGAGCGGAGGGACGAGGGGCGCUCGGCGCGGCUCCCGCGCACGCCCGCGCAACGCGCGGGCGGAGCGGAGCGGAGUGAGAGGAGAGAGAGCGAGAGAGAGAGGGCGCUGGGGAGGGAGGGGGAGAUGGGCCGAGAAAAAUUCGGCCCAUCGACCCCGGGGGAGGCAAAAUAGACUUUUGCGGAGGAAUUUGAUUUGGAAGGAUUGGAUUCGGAAUUGAACUCGACGAUAGAUCGGGGAUUUGAGAUCUGAGAUGGCACGGACACUAGACAACAAGCAAAGAAACAAAUUUCGCGAUUAGGGUUUUUAAGAGAUAAUUUUCCCGCUAGGCGCCACGACGGAACGGGCGCUACACAGGGUUUGCCAGACCCCGGGACAACUCGGGACGAACGCGCACGCCAGUGUUUCCAAUACCGCGUGGGCGAGGCAGGGGACCACCAUGAAUCAUAAGCCAAUGUUGAAGGAGACUAGCAGAGAAGACCUCCGGAACGGUCGCAACGCGAGAACGACGUAGAGGGAGAAUUGCCGGAGCAGCAUGUAGUUGUCGGAGAAGAGCAAAGUGUAGUCGAGGAAGAUACGGCGACACUGGCGAUGAAUCAUGAUGGACGAAAAAGAAGGCGAAGUAGCGGAACCAACGGCCUAGACGGCAACGUCAGUAGCCAUGUAGAGGUAGCUGGACUACCGGCCUAGAGCGGCGACGGUGGCAACUUGGAGACGCGGCGGCGAUGCUCGAAGUAGACAAAGAAGAUCCGAGUGGCUGACGAUGACCAAUGCGGACGACGAGGGUGUCGAAGCGCUAACGACGAUGAAAACGACGAAAGCGGCAAAGUUGUGGUUCGAGAAGACAACACAACUGCAGUUCCAUGUCGAUGCAGCGGCGAGAAGUCCACUGGUGAUGUAGCCAUGCUAAGGAGGGCGCCUGUCAGCACUGCAACAACCAGUGGAGGUGUGGACCACAGGCAGCGGAACUGCGGCCCUAGGGGGGCGACGCAGCGGCAGCCCGAAGCUUGAUGGCGUAGACGCGUAGUCGAAGAUGAUUAGCAGCAAGGUGUCGUCGUAGCCGGCCGUUUGAACGGGUGAUCAAGCCGAUGAUGCGUGGGGUAGAACGACGAAGUGGAAGCCGAAGCUCUGAUACCAUGUUGGAUAGUAUAGGUAGAGAGGAUAUUGUGAAUCGUGGAUUGACUGUAUUGAGCCUCAGGGGGCUGGUAUAUAUAAGAGUACAUGGAGAGGAGAUAAGAAAGAAUUACAGAUAUGGAAGGAGUCUACACAAAUCAAUCAUAUCCUAAUAUGACUCUAACUACCAUAUACUCUAACAUAUAUGUCCAGUUUCGUUGAUUUGACAUCCUACUCAGCAAAUAAAGAUAACAAAAAAAAUACGUGGGAGCCCACAUGACAGCUAUCCUCCUCUUUCUUCUCUUUUCUUCCCAAAACGCGGCUGGCGAAGAAGGUUGUAACAUCCCGAAAAUUUCGAUUCUGAAAUACGGAAUUAAAAACUCAGAAUAAUCAAAAAUCUUUUUAAAACCUUUUUGCAUGCUGGGAUUUAUUAUGCAUUUGUGUGUAUUUAGGUUGUGUGCUAAAGAUCUCGAUUAAAUCAUAUCUCCUAAAGGGACGCCCUCAGUCCAACGUCCUUUCUUUCCCAUAUCUUCACGGUCUGAUUUAUUAAGUGCUACCAAAUCACAGAAUAUUUAACCUGAAAAUCUUCCCUUAUGUCGCAGCACGACAUAUCUUUCUCAAUUCUUACCCUCCGGUUAUUUCAAACCGUUGUAUUAAUUCAACUCAAUAAAUCCUUCGAAUGUCUACAAUUGAUCGGCGUAUUUAUUUAUUGUGUGUCAAUUCAAAUAUAUUCAAUUCUAUUCCUACCGCGACGAUUGGAUUUGUAUGCCAUGCGUCGUCCCAAAAAUCACUGUUUUGUUUCCGUCGCCCGUUCGUGCAAAGCGCUCACGACGAAAUCCUAAGACUGCCGAUGGAAUUGUUUAUCGGGCGUCAUCCCUAAUUCCCUGUUCGAAGAUGCGGUGUAUCAUCCAAGCAAACCAAAUCUCGUAUUGCAGUUCAAUAAUCCAAUCCUUGUGCAUAUUCUAUUUCUAAUACCGAUCCAAGUCCAGUCCAAUUGUACAGUUCCAUAUAUACAGUCUGAGUACAGAGCCAAAAUAAAUGUUCAAAUUACAGUCCCAUUACAAAUACACUGUAUGUGUGCCAGCUCAAAUACAGACGCCAUUCCUUUUCAAAUCCCUACAAAAUACAAAAGCUCCUAUUACACUUGGGCCAUCUCCCCCUCUGCUAGCACAGCCCAUUUCACCACACAAGUCCAUUAUUCCUCCCCCAGCCGACUGACAGCCCACCCCUGUGCACUUGCUCAGCCAACCACCCAAAGUCUGCUUUGCCUGCCCUGCCCAAAACAACCAACAGACAUGCACAGGAGGUGCUCGACAUAAGCCCACAAGACACUACAGCACUUUGCACCCACCUUUGCCGGCUCACAACAGUAGCUAAUAAAUACCAGGGUCCCUCCCAAACAACAUCCCAUGCACCCAUGAUCCCAAUUCACAGGACCCUCCCCAAAGCACCAACAACACAGGAGACACAAAUCCACACUAAGAUGAUAAACCGAGUUCACCGAAAAAAACAUGCAUGUAUUGCUGUCCUAUUCCCUCAGCCGAACACCUGCAUGCACAGAACGUGUUCGAUCAAUUGCCCACAAGCCACCACAGUGAAUUGAACCUACUUUUGCAGCUACCAAAUGACAGGGGUCCCUCCACAACAGCAGCAACACAUUCACCAUGAACCCAAUCCACAAAACCCUCCACUAAAUACAUGCCACCACAGAACCAAGUUCACUGAGAAGAGCAACACCAAGUUCACACCGAAAAGUGGCAAAGCCAAGUACAAUGGGCCAUGCGUACCUGGUACUGUGGCGAUGUCGACGUUUCGGCACUGCUCCCUGCCCACCCUCACAUUGCCUCCCAUGCUCAGGCAGCCAGCAAAGCUAUAUAAACCCUACCAAAGACAGCAGCAGCUCGGCUCCUCUCCAUUUCUUCUCCCUUCUCCCAACUCGAGCUCUGCCAUUGCCACUCCUCCAUCUCGCGCACAAGCUGCCUGCCACCUCUCCGCUUGCUCCGCCACAGCCGGCUCCGGCUGGGCCUCAGUUGAGCAAGAGGACAGGAAGGCCGCCGCGCCAUUGAAUGACCUGAGAACGACUAACCCCUAACAUCUAACCCUUUGUUGUUCUGUUGCACUAACUCACUAACCCGCUGACUCUUUAUUUUCUGUUUCACUAACCUCUAACACACUCGGUUUGUUUACACGAGGGAAUUGAUGAUGAGAUUAAGAUGGGAAUUUGAUUUUUAAUCCCAAUAUCUUGUUUGGUAGUGGUGAUAGAAAUUGAUAGGGAGUUUAGUUGGAGAUUAGAUCAUUAAUAAAAACGGAUGGUCGAGAUUUGCUUAGACAAAGUAAAGGAGGAAUUUCCUCCCAAUUACCUGCCCCUACCCAGCUAUUGAAAAGGAGGGAGUUCCUUCCUCAAUUCCUCAUCUCCAUCUCACCAAAAUUCUCAUGUCUCCCAACUAAACAAGACACUUAAUAGCCUCAUCCCUCUAAACUCCCAAUCCCUACUAAAAACUCCCUCCAACCAAACGGGCCGACUGACCCCUUGUAUUUUCCGUUUCACUGACCUAUGACUCGCUAACACGCUAACCCCUAACCCUUAUCUCGCACUAACCCACUGACAUUUAUCCCCUACACUGCCGCUUCGUCACCCGCGCCAUAUGCGCGGCAUCGCCGUAUCACCUCCACCUCGAACCGCCACCCUCCUGCCCCGACGCCGCUCCCCCCUUUGACUUCCGUGCCGCCUCCCUUCCCCCAUGGCUGCGGCGCCGCGCACGGGCGCUGCCCAACCGCGCCGCGCCGUCGCCAGACCGCAGCCGUCACCACGCCGACGGCCUCCCCUCCAUUCCACCUCACUACCGCCGCCCCCAUCUCCCAUCCAUCCCCGCCGCUAGCCACCACCUGGCCGCGCUGCGCCGCCCCCGACCGCCACUUCGCCGCCCCAUCCUCCCUCCUCGGCCAGGCCGCCUCCCCACCGCGCGUCGCCCCGCCACCAACGCCCCCAGGCUGCCACCCGGACGCCACCGAGCCGAGCCGCGCCAGGCCAUCGCGCCGCUGCCCUCAGCCACCAUACGCCGGCCCUCCCCUCUCCAUUCCCCGCCGCCGCGCCAGCCCACCCUGCAGUCGAGCACCACCUCACCGCCGGUCCGCCGCACACCGCCCCGACGCCGCCGCCCCCGCCCCUCUCACCCGGAGGGUUUGCAAUUAUGACACUGCAAACAUUAACCUUUGCUAUAAUGACACUGGACCUAUAUUUUAUAAACACAGAUAGACCCAUUUGUUAUUCACUCGGAGUGUCAAAACAGCGAAGCCCUAUAUUUGCAGUCCAAUAUUGCAAUGUGCGCGGGAAGCAGAGAAGAGAACGAGAAGAAUUGAGAAAGAAGGAAGAAAGGGGAUAAGAAAGAGAGAGAAUAGAGGAAGAAAAUUUAGAGGAAAAGAAAAGGAAGUGGGACCCGCAGUCUAGACCCUUCCUCCCUGAGUUGACUUCCCCCAUGGAAGUCUAAAUCACUUCCCUGUACUUUAGUGUGUAAGUCCAAAGGACCAGGCCCUCUUAUGAAGUCUAUUUACCUCCUAGCAGAGGGAAAAGUACACGCAAGGUCCCUCAACUUGUUAGCCAGAUACAAAAUCGUCCCUCAACCGCAAAACCGGACAUCCGGCGUCCCCCAACUUACAAAACCGGUCACAAAAGGUCCCUCGGCGGUUUUGACCCCGGUUUUGUUCCACGUGGUGGCUGACUCAGCGUGGGACCCACGUGGGCCCCACAUGUCAGUAAGCCAUGUCAUCACCUCUCUCUAUCUUUCCUCCCCCUUCCUCUCUCUCUCACUUAUCUCCUCUCGACAGGAUGGGCGGCCCGGGCGGUGGGUGGGGAUGUCGCCGGGGUGAGGCGGGAGAGGAGGUCCGACGAUCGCCGACCGGCGACGCGGCGGCGGCGACACGGGAGAAGGGAAGGGCGGCGGCAGCCCAGCGCGGUCGCGGCGGCCAACAGACAGGCAUGGGACGGGCGGCGUGAAGGGCGGCAGCGGCGCGUGGUUGUAGACGAAGCCGAGGAAGACGGCGUCGACGUCUCCCCCAGCCUCAGCCACCGGGGAAGGAGCUGGGCACGGGUGGCAGCCGUCGAGGGCAUCGUGGCUUCGGUCCUCGAGCGCCAUCAUGGUGUCGCCGUCGUCGCCGCAUUCCUCCCGUCUCGCCGCCACCGCCAAGCCGACGCCGACGCGUUCCUCCUGCCUCGUCGCCACCGCCCAGCCGACCAGCUUGGCCGCUGCGGUCGCCCGCCGCUCCUUCUCGUCGGCGAGCACGGAGAGGAAGCUGACGCCGCCGCCUUGCUCCCCUCACCGCCGCCACCGCCGCCUUGCUCCCCUGAGCCAACGCCGACGCAUUCCUCCCGCCUCGAUGCCGACGCUGGCCUCCCCGUGCCUCCCUGCCAUCGUCACCGCGUUCCUCCCGCCUCGCCGCCGGAUUUGGACUUGGGAGGAGCUCACCGGCCUCCCCGCGCCUCCGCCGGCCGCGCGUGUGGCUCCAGCUUUGCCGCCGCUCCUCCUCUCCGCCGAUUCUUCCCCGUCGGCCGUGCCGACCCUCUUCUCCACCGCGUCGGUGACGCCGCCGCAUCGGCCCUUCUCUCCGCGUCAGUUAUGAUGGCCGUAGCCGCGCGCCGCCAUCGCCGACCGCACGAGGGGGACGGGGAGGCCGGCGAACUCGCACCGCCCUGAGCCCGCGCACCGCCACCCGGGAGCCGCCGUCGCUAGCCGCACCACCUUUCGGCCGCGCGCGCCGCCGCCUGUGCGAGAGCAAAGAGCGAGAGGAAGGAGAGAAAUAGAGAAAGAGAGAUAGGGUGCUAACGUGGCUUACUGACAUGUGGGGUCCACGUGGGUCCCACGCUGAGUCAGCCGCCACGUGGGACAAAACCAGGGUGAAAACCGCCGAGGGACCUAUUGUGACCAGUUUUGUAAGUUGGGGGACGUCGGAUGUCCGGUUUUGCGGUUAAGGGACGAUUUUGUAUAUGGCUAACAAGUUGAGGGACCUUGCGUGUACUUUUCCCCUAGCAGAACCCGAGGGAUUCAUUCACCUACAGAAGUCUAAUUGGUAUCCUCCAGAGCCCACCAUCGGCCUACCUAUACACUAAAGUCCAUACACAUCCUCAUUUCAGCCCAGAGCCCUAUCAUAAAGUCUAAAUCACCUCCCUUCCCGAGAGCACUCCCUCCUCGGUUUAUAAAACCUUUCAACUUCGGAAAUUCAUAUCUUUUGGACCAUAACCCCGAUUGACUCCGUCCAACAUCCAUAAUCUCUCUAAAUUCGAGAUCUAUUAAAUUGGCACCAUUAGUUGUAUUGAAUGUUGCUUUAUUUUAUUUCUUUUAGGAUUAUGCGUGGAUAUUCUUCGGUUAUUUAUCAGACGUGUCGGAUAUUUAUCGAUCGCGGGUAUUCUAACUAAUGCGGAUAUCUCGAAGACAUUAGGAACCUAUAGCAAGGCAAGUCACUACGCUCCCUUCCUUGAACAUAUUGAUCCUAGAUUUAUAAAUGUUUUGUUUACAAAUAAAUUGCAUGCUAUUUAUAAAGUGCGUAUCUAUGCUCGAUUAUGCCUACAUUUGAUAUUGAUUACCUUUAUACAUGUUGUAUACCUUUGAUUAGCUGAGUCGUUUAUUUAUGUGUGGUCAUUUAUUGACAUUGCUUAGCGAUGCUAUUAUAGACAUACGUACACUCUAUAUUUAUGCUAGAUGAUUAUGGGUGUGAGAUCACUCGAUGUGAGUGAUUGAUGAUUUGCGGGUGGAGACAUGAGUGCCACCCGCCACACACAAACCUUCUGCGAAAACCAAAACUUAAUACAACAAAACCAUUUCGACUGGGGCGGCAUGAAUAGAAUAUGGGUGGGUCUGGAAACGGUUAGUCGCCGACCCUAGUCAGUUAUGGACCGAGUCAGGAAGCUAUACGAGAAACGAACAGAGUACGACCGCAUUUCUUCAGUGGGUAUAGACCAGCGGAUUAGGAAGCUCUUGUGGGGCGACACCUCAGUCAUGGUUAGUUCUGUAUAAGUGUGUUGUGAUGAGUGCAGUGUCGGAAAGGUAAAGGCCAUGGUAUAAACUUAAAAUGAACCCUAUAACUAUAUAUAUAAUAUAAUAUCCCCAAUUCCCUAGAGCGCCAGGACUCCCCUCACUAUCCGGCAGAGGGGUUAGGAGUGCCGGGGCGCAAUGGGGGUUCAUAGUCCUUGGAGCGGGUGCCGAAAUGCGAGAGCGACUGAAAAGCUGUGCCGUGGCAAGUCUUAUAUGUUGGGACUAGGCUUAUGUGUUGGGCAAGCCACGGAGUGCGGGAUUAAAAGCGUACAUCCACUGCAGUGUGAGUAAAUCUAUCUAUUCGAAUAGCUGUGCUCGCGGUUAAUGAGCGCCGAGACCUGUACUACUCUUGACUAGACUUAUAGAUUUUAAUACUGCUUAGAGUAGUUAUGAGAGACAUGUGAACCUCGCCCAUAGAGUGGGAAGGUCAGUAUAGUAGAGUUAAUAAGACGAAAUAUGAGGGUAAACCGAACUAAGCAGGGCUUGGAGAGGUGGAUGAAACCUAAAUAAUUACAACUUCAACAAUAACGUUGUUUUUCAGUUAAAACUGCUAUGCCAAUAGGCUUGUGAAAUGAAUCGUGAAAACUAGCCUUAUGCAAAUAAACUAAGCCAUCCUUGAACCCUGUGUGCAUUAGAUUCAUUUUGUAGUGGUGGCUUGCUGAGUACGUAAAUCUUUUAGAAAGAAGUUGGCGUCGAUUAGAUUUAUGCCAUGCUGCUGUCAAGAACGUGUUGAAGAUGAUGGAUUAGGGACCAUAGGUUCACCAGUCGUUGCUUGUGGAGUUCGAUGGACCGCCGUUGCUUCGCUUCCGCUGUUCUAUCUAUUGCUUUGGUAUUUUGUAUUGUAAGUGAUCAUGCUUGGUCUAUUUCGGGACCCAAUAAGGUUACCCUUGUAUUAUUAUUAUAGAAACACCGGUAAACGAUGUCAGUUAUAAUAUUAUACUGUGCUAUGUGUGUACCACCUACUGAUCCAGGAAGUGGUACUGUAUAACACAUGGGAUUACCGGUGUCCCCACAACCAAGGUCGAGCGUGAGGCGGAAGCUGUCCAUGAUGGCAUCGACGCAGCCAAGCACCAGGCACGGUCCGCCACAGAACGCCUCCACCGCCGCCGCCUCCGAUGGCACACGCAGUGCGCCCUCCGGGCCCAACCUGUACUAUCCCUGGCAGCCGCUGUAGAUCUUCACCCGGCCACCAAUGCAGAUUGCAGAACGUCAGAAACAGAGUCCGUUUUCUGCUCGAACUCUUUUUUUCUUCUUUUUUUUGGCUGAAAUUGUUUCAAUUACUGCUCAAGUUUGAUUACGAACUGUCGAACUGUCAAUGAUGUGCUUACACAUCGAUCGCUGAAGCAGAUGAUUGGCCUUGGCAACGAUGUCUUCAGUGCUUCUUUUUUGACCAUGAAACUAUGGAAGGUUGUUGCUGCCUCGUCUGCAACGACGAUGGCGACAUGCACCCAGAUGGGGCUAGUGAGCAGCACGAUGGGCAGAGCACGACGACGGUGCUGGUGAGCGUGAGCCUGGUCGGGAGCAGGAGGACGGUGAGCGUGAGGAAGCCAACGACCUGGGUGGAGUUGGAAGCCAACGACCUGGGUGGAGUUGGGCCGGGCGCGUGCGUUUGCACCCGCCAGAGCAGUGUCGUAGACGACGAGUCCGCCGCCGCGGGAGCUUACCCAUGGCGCUGUGUCGGAUGUGCGCGUGCUGCUGCCGAUCUACCAUUCUCGCGGAGUCGCGGUCGACCUAGGAGGAUGGGACCAUCGCCGCCGCCACCUCUUCUCUUCCCCCAUCUCCCACCAUCCACCUCAUUUACAUGUAGGCCUCAUAAUCUUUUUGUUUUUUUAUUUUGCUGACUCAACGAAAACAGAGACCCAAAUUAUACGGUUUUAUUAUAUAAUAAGGCAAAAUUGGUUAUAUAGUAUCGAAAGUUCACGUUUUUUGAUUUAUAGCACCGAAAGAUACCGGUUCACUUUAAUAGCACCCAAAGUUCACCCCGUUCCCAUUUUUAACACUUCCGUCAAUUCUCGAUCGUUUUCCGUCCGUCUUAUCCUAGCCAGGCACACGAUAUGGCGUUUCUACCCUCAUUGACAUGCAUUCUACUUGUACUUGUGACGGGUAUAUAAUUAAGGGGUAAAGAUUUCUAAUAUUAGAUUAGGGAUGUUAUACAAAGUCGGCAUAAAGUCAUUCCUUUUCUGGACUGUGGCUUGUGGGCCACAAAAGUAGCAAGGUCUACUACAACCAACAAAACGAGAUUCUGAACAGGCCCGUGACAAGAGCGAUGGGCGACACGUGGGUACCGUACGGUCAAGAAAAACUGCUGAAACCUACUACAUCCGUCCCAAAAUAAGUGCAGCCGUGGAUAUCCGUGCCGAACGUUUAACCGUCCGUCUUAUUUAAAAAAUUUGUAAAAAAAAUUGAAAAUAUUUAGUCACACAUAAAGUACUAUUCAUGUUUUAUCAUCUAAUGCGAUAAAAAUACUAAUCAUAAAAAAAAUUUAAAUAAGAUGAACGGUCAAACGUUGAACGUAAAUAGUGCAAAACUACACUUAUUUUGGGACGGUGGGAGUAUAAGAGAAAUCAGUUGUUUGUCAACUAGAGUCCCUUAAAAAAAAUUACUCAAAUUAAAUCUUAAAAUUAGACAUGAACAAAUUUAUGUAUCUCACUAUAGUUUUAAAGUUUGAACUACAUAUUUUUUGUAAUCGGACCAACUAUACUAUAUGAAAAAAAAAAUUGCUUUAUUUCAGAGUUCAGGCGCGUUCAGACGCAUCGUCCAAUUCUAGUUACUGUCUCCAUGGCACCACCCCCAUAAUAUAAUGAGAAGAGAUUAAGGAGCCAUGGAGAAGGGGUGGAGGGUACUUGGAUUAAGACAAUAAAAGAGAGAUGAUUAAUCAAACAAGUAUACUAUAAACUAUUGUACUAUUUUGCGAGGAAGAAUUUAAAAUUUAAAUCAUUCACUUCCUUAUAGUAUUUUGGAAACAUUGGUUGUCCUAAUACUGGCUUAAUUAGGAAAAAAAUAUGAUAAACUUCUAGUUACGUACUUAGCGAUUUAAAAGCCAAAUGCUGAAAAACAAACUUUGUUCAAAAAAAAAGGAAUCAGGUUUCAAAAUUCAAAAUUUUGGCAACGCGGCAAAAGAUGGAAAAGCCUUCAACAGCAUCACAGCAUCAACACCAACAUGGAUCGGAUGGCACCACAGGAUGAUCUGCAGCUGCUCUGCUUUACGAUGAUGCACCUUCGAACGACUGCGAGAGGUGCUUUACAUUCCAUCCCACAGGUCGCUAUUAGGUGUGCAAGGGUAACGGAAAUAGGUUGAUACGAUUGCAUAUGUGUGUAAACUGUGAUCGAGCAUAUGGUGUGCAAGGGUAUGAUAAAUACAGGAGUUUGCAUACGUUUUUACAGGCAAUGUCUGAUAAGCUAUUUGCAAUCUAGCAGUUCGAAGUGCUUCAAAUACGAUUAGGAAGGUGGCCUUUGAAGGGGGGCCUCCUGCUUUGGACGCCUGCAUGUAAAGAAAAAUCUAUAUUAGGUUAGCAUUGCCUGUUGAUCAGAGGAUGAGCAACUCCCAAUCAAAAUGGUAUCACCCAAAAUCAUUUUGACAGUUUUAACCAGAUGUAAAUGGACACUCUUUUAGAGCUUUGUAAUGCCAAGGGAAUAUAAGAAUUAUGUAGGAUAGUGCUAAUCCAACAUUAUUACUAUAUUGUUACAACAGGAGGUGAGAUAUAAAUAGUCCUUUGCUAAGGAAACAGGAGGUUGGGCCAGAAAUUGAAGUAUAUGAAAAAGAAGGUUGAUUUGUUGGUCAUGGGUUUUAAACGCAGCCAAGUACAGUAUCUGGCAAUCUUGGAACUUACAGAUUUGCUAAGAAUAUUGUGUAUAAAUACUGUUCCUCAACAACUAUAUUACCUCGCAGAGCAAGAAGGCUCAAGCCCUGGCACAUCUGGUGGACCAAUUGGAUUAUAAUGACCACUCGGUGGAGCACUCCUAUUUUCAAAUAUUAAAGUCCAUUCAUAAGUAAAAAUGACCUCAUGUGUACUAAAAUGACAAGAUAAUAAAAAGAAAAAGUGGAUUACCCUGUGCCACUUAAGGGUACAUGCAAGGGAUUAGAAGGAAAGAAGCUUGGAUCAUUUGGAUCUGUUGUAUAAAUAAGUGGUAAAACAAGACUGUAGAGAUGCAGAAACAUAAAAAGAAAUAUUUUUGAGAGUUCCAUGGGUGUCAUAUUACCAACAUGCUGGCUGCUGCCACCACCAAUACCACUGCAUACAAAAACAGAAACUAUUAACUAUGUGAGUAUGAUUUACCUAUACUUUAGGUGAUUGGAGACGAACCUGUGAGGAUCGGGGAAGGCAUCAUCGUGACCUGUUGGAGUUAUAGCAGGAAAAUCUAUGCCGUAACUGUGUAACACAACAGAAAUCACAAGAAAGAUCACAUCAUAUAACUAUGUUUAGAGUAACUAAUGAACUAAUAUCAUGAACCACUCUAAUUACUCUAAUGAACUACUAACUAUGUUAGAUUAAAUGUACAUACACAGCACUACAAUUAUCAGGUGCAUAUUGCACCUUUUUUUUACAUAUGACUAGUGCUUGGAAUGAACCUUCAUAUCCAGCGCACAUCGUCACAUAUGUAUCAGUAAGUCACUAAUGAAUCACAAAGUUUCAUGAAUGCACUGAACAGACAAGUUCAUAUAUAAGGACCAAGCAAAGGCUUCAUUCAGUGAAAACUGGAAAUAAGCUUAUAGUUGCCAGUGAAACCUGGAAAGUAACCUUAUAGUUGUUUUAAGUACAUAUUAUCUCUACUGGCUAGGCCUCAACAUGUUGAUGCCGAGCUGACAUAUGAACACUAAACACUUUAUUUAAUAUGCACGAGUGUAUUGUUCUCUUGUUAUUUCCUUGUUUAUGUAGGCGACAAUGUUAGUUCAGUAUCACAGUAAUAACAAGAAAUACAAGACAUGAAAGAGUAGUAUGGCCUUAAAAUGACUGCAUUAAAUUUUGAUGGCUCAUAAAAAACAUUAAAGAUAAUUUCAGUAAUAAUCACAGAUAAAAUCCAUCACAAUCAUUGGCUCAUUGCUACCUUCGAAUGGCAUUCUGUUCACAAAAGACUCGAGCAUUCAUUAUUUGUAGUCUUUACCUCACAUAUAGCAUUGCACUAAUGCUUUGCCAACUUAUCCAAAAUAGUCUAAGAAAAUGACACAGCUAGCGGCAACAUCAAAAUGAAUCACCCAACUUGUGGCUACUGCAGCAAAUCUAUUCCAGAAAACAAAGGAUUUACUGUGCCAUUUCAUUCCUAUCUUUAUGACCUACUGUUCCAGUGUUCUUCAGAGGUUAAUCCAUGGGUGUACAUGUCAUUAAUGAUUGAGCAAGAGCGGAAAUAAUAUAGUGAGGGCCCGUUUGGCAGGGAUCCAACUCUUAAAUUUAACUCAGAGUUGGGUUUGGAGUAUAGUUGCGGAGCAGCCUGAACCCCACUCCAACUCCAACUCUCUAGUUCAUUUUGUGAGAGCACUCCAGCAACUUCACUCCCUUUUUGGGUGGAGCUGAAACUGUUAGGUUGGGCUCCAGCUCUAGGAGAGGUGGAGGUGGAGCUCUGCCAAACUGCCCCUUAAGUUUGAUAACAGGUUGUGUAAAGGUAGAGAGAAGAAAGCGCAAGCCCAACAAUGAAGAAUAUACACAAAGAAAGCAAAAGGAGAAAUGAGUUUAGCCUUAAGGUCAUACCGUUCAGUAGUUUUGAGGUCUUGAUUUUCAUAGCUGGAACACAAGCGCCUUAUGUUAGAAAAACUUUUGGAGAAUACCAGUUAAUGAACGUAAUUAAAGUUUUUUCUUACUUGAGAAGCUUCGACUUUCAAUUACAUGUUUCACAAGUAUUUUCCUUAACUAGCAGAAUAUUUAGAUUUGAACAACUAAAAGAAAUAUAUUGAUGAUGUUAGAUCAAUGGAACAUAUCCUGUGCACAUAAGAUUUCCGUAUACACACCGUGCACACCAACUAACAAAUUAGACCAAAAAUCCUAGAAAACAUUGUACAUAUGUAUUUCCAUUAGUGUUACACUUAUAUGUAAAGUCUUAACUUUAAAUUCAAUACAUUUUAGACGUAACAAAUAAGAUAAAAACUCUGACAGUUUUAAGAGUAAAUCUGCCAGAAUUGUCUUUUUUGUUACCCCCUAUAUAUAAUGAAUUUGAAGUUGAGAUUUUACACAUAUAUAUAAUACGACUUAAAGUUCAUGUACAUUUUUUUCCAGAAUUUUUGUGAUAUUUGUUAGUUGGUGUGUACACGAAAAAGCCUUGUGUGCAUAGGAUGUGUUCCCUUAGAUCAGCACCAGUCUACCAUUUUAUUAUUUUUAAGACCAAAGCACAAUAGUGUGUAGAGUAGUCUAGUAGUAUUGAAUACGUACCUUUUAGGGAACUCAAGGAGUUCAUAGUUCUCCAAUAUUUCAUCAAUCCUGCAGAACAAAUAAUGCAAAUAUAACAGAGAGCAAGGCAGUUCUUUUUUGAAAUCAAACAAUUGAGAAGAAGAAAAAUACCUACCAUCCCAAAACUCUAUCAUAGAUAUCCUUGUCAUACAUGUGGUGGUAAUCAUCUUUAUGCAAUAUUAGACAUUCCACCAUUGCAGGUAAAAUUUCAUCCAAGGAAUUUGAAUUUACCAGUUCCAAAUCAGACAGCCGCAAGAAUUGUUGUUUGCCCAUAUUGUCCUUCAAAUGAAAUCACUUUUUAGUUAAGAGUGUUUAUAGCAGCACUUACGAUACCAUGAUAGAAGUUAAUCAAAUGGUACACUACAGCAAAAACUAUCAUAUGCAUGUGCAUUGAUAAAUACAACAAAAAAGAAAAUCAGAGAUUAAAACUCACUUUUGAGCCUUUCCAACCAUGAUGACGAACAUGGCGUAAGUAAACCAUGCCAUCUUCCACUGAAUUCUCAAAGGGUUCAUACUCUUCACGUUGUUCAGGGCAUUCUUCAUUUCCACCAUCAUUCCCAACAUAGCCUCCAAGUUCAUGACCUUCCUUUUCUGCAUUCUCAUCUCCUUGUUCAUUGGAUUCACUUUUUUCCAUCUUAGCUCUGUGGUGUUCAUAUACAACAGUAUGAAUUGGGGAGACAGAGGAUACACUACCAUCCUGCUUUUGACAUCGGACUCUCCAGUCUUGUCGAAGUGUCACAGAGUUCAGAAUUGAUUGAAGUAAUCUCUUCACUUGGCCAGUUGUUGCUUGAUGGGCUGAAUAAAUAUUAUCAAUUAUUUGUAAUCUUGUCAAGGACGACUUCAGUGCAGGAUGGAUGGUGAUAAAUCUUUGAAACUUUCUUAGCAUCGCACUGCCGUACCUCAGAUGAUCAAUGUAAUUUCUAAGUGACUUGUCAAGAUGCCUAAAAAGGCCUGGCCAUUUACCACCUACCUCAUACUCUGGAAGAACGUCAGUAGCAACUCUAAGAAAAUCAUGUGCCUCUGUUUUACAUGCCGCUUGAUAAGUACAUGGCAAAUCGAUCUUAACAUCCAACGAGUCACUGACCAUAACAUGAUCCAAAUCCCAAUGGCCAUUCCAAGAUCUACCUCCCUUAUGAGACCUUGUUAUCAUUGUCAACAGAUUGGUUAAAAUGAUUCUCCCAAUCUGGGUGGUAUCUAUCACUGGCAGGAAAAAACCAUCACAUCUAAUAUGGCGGGGCUUGGUCAGAUGAUACCCACGUAGCUUCAGAAAUGUCCUCAACGGAAUCCAUCUGCAAAUAUAGUACUCUAUUAUUUAUUCCUAAUAAUGUUAACAUCAAGCCAUUGUUAUUGACCAAAUUUAAAUGGACUCAAGUAAAAUACCUAUCCGGUUUGGGCAUGUCACAUAUGCAUAUUACUGGAUUUUCACAAUGAAAACCUGGUAAGUUCAAAUCAUGAAUAAAUGUGCGCACAGCAUUUUCAAGAUUCUUCUGAAUCCUGCAAAAAAUAUAGAAAUUAAGACACUGACUCUCAUAUGAAGAUGAUCUAGGACAAGAAAGUCACCUUGGGUAGCAUUGGCACAAGUCAUGUGCGAGUUCAGGAGCAUAACUCCAAAUAUGAUCGAAAUGUAUGUGCAUCUCAGGAGAGCUCAGGGUCUUCAUAGAAUCAACAAUUGCUCCAUAAUAUGGUAUAUUGUUCCGCUCGAAGCUGAUUAAAAAACAGAUCAGAUGCUGCUUUGAUUUCAUAAGCCAUAAAACAUAUUUCCUAAGAAUGAUAGAUUUUUACCUUCUUAAAAAGUCGAGGAACAUGUGUUCCAGCUUUUGGUCUUUUCCACUCAUGAAAUAAGACGCAAAAUCUGCUCUCACUGUUCCAGGAGAGGGAGGCCUGGUUUCUAGCUGCGCAUUGGUGGGUGAUGGCCUUGGCUUAACACUGGAGCUGCUACCAUGUUCUCCUGCCAUACGGGAAUGCCGUACUGGAGGAGGACCUUGGCUUGACUCAAGUGACGAGCUUACGCUCUAGAACAGAGAAAAAAAAUGAUGAAGGCAUUUUGCUAGAUCAAAUCAACUAGAUGAAUAUAUUACAUGGUUAUAGCAAUAUGAGUGUUUACAGGUAACAUCAAAAAGACCGUGACAAUAGAAGUGGCUUUGAACACAGUAGAUUUGCCACUAAAAUCCUACAAUCAAAGGAAUGCAUAUUUCUAGCAACAUGCUGAAGUAACAUGGCAAUUCUACAUUUAGAACAACAAUGUGCUAAGCAUGGGAUAGCAGUUAACAUUUAAGGCAACAAAAACGUACAUGAUGCUGGGUUUGCCUGGCACUGUGAGGCUUCUUCUUAAAGCUUUGCUUAGCACCUUCAAAAUAAUUGCCACUUUUCAACACAGAAUGUUGGUCCCUUGAGAUUGUGAUAUCAUGAACCAACACACCGCUUUCACCAGGCUAAUUAUUUUUAAACAAAAAAGGUCAGUAAUUAAAAAAAUGCACUGCUUAAUCAAAGAAAGUGGCAGAAUUACUAAGGGCUUACAGAAUCAACAGAUCGCCAAAUAUUUUGGUAGUUCCGGAAGCCCACAUCUGAUUCCAGAACAAAAAAUCUUCCAUGGUACUGAAAAGAAGAAAAUAGAAUGAAAACUAGCAUACCAAGUUUAUUUAAAAAAAGGCAGGUAUCACAACUCGUAAAUUACAAUACCUUGUAUACAACGUUGAAGUGCUCGUUUUGAAAGAAAAUGAACAACUUCCUAUCAGGAGUUGCUGCUUUCAAAGUGUGUAAACUGUGAUUUUAAAAAAAAAUGUCAAUAGAAGAAACAAAAUGACAAUUGUAUUUACCUAUAGCUAGCAUGCAUACCCAAACUCUGUGACUUGUCCAGGAUUAUCUUUCAAGAACGUGUGAAUCAACUCAUCUACAAAUAAACAAUUUAAAAACAGAGCAUUAGCGAUCAAAGAAAGAAACAUAUUUGCAUCCGUAAAUAGUUGACAGGUGAAAAAUGUAAGAUCGUUACAUCUUCUAGUUUCAGCAGCAUCUAUCAUAAAAUCAGCAUCUUUCUUUGAGUUGUAUUUAGCCCUAUCGAUAUUCAGCUGAUUGUAUGAACGUCCAUCAACUGCAUUCAAUAAAAUGGUGUCUUCCUGUUCACAAACAUACCACAGAAGAAAAAAUUAGGAAAAACCCAAGAAAAAAAAUAUUAACAUGACUACAACACUAAAUUAAUCCAUGUAAUAAGUAGCCAUGGUUCAAUCAUACUAAAAGACAUCUCCCAGUAGCAUACCUGAUUGUUCAUGUCUAGUACCCAGGCAUGAUAUAAAGGGAUAUCCAGGAUUCUAAAAAGCCCAUACUGAGGGGUGUCCUCAAACCCGUCGACACUGCGCAUACCAAUUACACAUCAAAAUAUACAAAUGGAGGCUAUAUUAUUGCUUAAGAACUCGCUUAACCACAAACCUUGUGCAAUAAAUAUCAAUAUCUAGUCCUGUAGCCGUUUGUUCCACCGUUGCCUGUGCAGUUUUAUAGCUGUCAUCCUACACAUUGCAAUGUGAUUAAUAAUCUUCAAUUAAAAAAAUGGAAUAUAUUGUUUUGAUAAGUGGAUCAGAUCGAACCUUCAUUUUGCUGAAAACUUGACUAAACACACGGUCAACUAAAUAAUCAAGGUAAACAAUUGUCAUGGAUGGUGGCAAGGAGAGUUUCCUGGUAAGGAUUAGAUAAUUGCCUGCAAAACAGAGUAGUUAAGCUACAUGGGACAGUUUAUCAGCGGGUAUAGUAUAAACAACAAACAAAAUCUCACAUAUGGCUAUCAAGGAGCAGGGUCCAUUCUUGGACUGGAGGAUGAUCUUAUACCCCCGGCCCAGAAAGGAUAUGAGUUUUGUUUCACAAAAAUCUCUGGGCACACGAGGCACUUGCGGUGGAGGCAAAGUGCUCUCCCCUCCUUCAUCCUUCUGUACACACUCCUCUUCGGUCUCCUCCUCCUCGCCCUCCUCGUCCUCCUCAUCACCCUCCUCUGCGGAGUCACCAGCGGUCUCCUCCUCCUCGCCCUCCUCGUCCUCCUCAUCACCCUCCUCUGCGGAGUCACCAGCGGUAGAGAAGGCCAGCGAGCGGUCAACCUCGAAGAGCUGCGAAGCUAGCCGGCCGAACAACUGCGGGCCGGCCAACAUCCGGCUGACGGACACCUGACCGAUCGGCUUGAAGGCCUGACCGGUGCUCAGCCUCUGACCUAUGUCGCGGAAGGGAGUGAUCAGAAGCCGCGGCGGUACCCGCUGCCGACCGGGCGGAGGAUCUCCCCGCGGUGGAACCUGCCGCUGCCGACCGGGCGGAGGAUCUCCCCGCGGUGGAACCUGCCCCUGCCGAUCGGGCGGAGGAUCUCGCCGCGGAUAGUUGGAUCCCAUCGUAGAGAAGGUCUUCUAGGGGAGCGGUGGGAACUGAGGCUCCACCCUCGCCGUCAACCUCGACGCAAGCGCGCGCCGACGCUCCCCCGUCCGACCGAGCGGAGGACCUCGCCGCGACCGAUCUUGGCGGCGGAUCUCGCGGAUGUUUUUUUUUUCUUUUUCUUUUUUUUCGAGAGGAACUCGCAUGAACCCUAAACCCUAGGAGGCGGCGGCGGCGGCGGCGUUUGGUUUGAAUGGUGGAGUUGGCUCGAGUGGAAUGGCAUGACCUAGUAGGGUAGUAGGUGCGAGGAGGCGACUGCAGUCUACUGAAGUCGGCCUGUGGGCUGUGGUCCGAACGGACCAAGACGGCCCGCGUCUUGGACUACGGAGUGUUCAGUUGCGCUGCAAGUUUUACAGGAUUUUUUUAUUAUUGUUUUUCUAAAGAUUUAUAAAAACUACUCUAAUAUAAAUUAUCGUUCCAAAGUUUUGCAAAAAUACUCUCCUUCGGCAUAUAAAUCACCCUACAAUAAGACCAUCUAUGUGACGUGGCACCCCGUAGAAGGGGCACAUCGCGACAAUUUUGCAGGCCUCCCGUUGGGCGAUUUAUCGUCGGGAGGGGCCACCUGCAAAAUUGUGAAACUUUGAAAUGAUUUUUUUUACAAUAGGGUGGGAGGAGUAUAUUUCUAUAAAACUUCAAAAUGAAAUAAAUAUAAAUAUUAAAAAAAUGUUUUACAAAGAGUAAAUUUUACCUAGCCUCAUGUAUUAUUAUACUUUAAGUUACACAAGACCACACUAUUGAUCAUUUCGACUUUUAUUUAUCACAGUUUUGAAUUCUACAAUAACAUCUCAAAUUUAUGUGUUCUUUAUUCAUCAUAUAAAUGAUCUACAUCCAUGUAACUAUAGCCUUUUAAAAUUUUGAUAUGUGAAUAUGUCAAACUGAUUAGUGACGUGGUUUUAUGGAACUUGGACCAUUAAUAUCUUAAGUUAUAUGUCACGUGCCAAAUUUUAUGUGGUUUUGUGCAACUUUGACCAUUAUAGGUGAGGCUUUGUAAAAUUUACUCUUUUACAAUCUAGCCUUCUAAGAAAAACUUACUCCGUAUUUCAUGAAAAUACCAUUAGCAAGACUUAUUUCUGGAAAUGUGUUGAUACCUCGGUGCCAACGUUGGUAUCUUUUACAUUAGAUGAUACCCCACACGCUGCUACGGGUUUAUUAUAAUAAUUUAAAAUACACAUAUUAGUAUGAUCUAUUAAAAUACUAAGCUGCAUAAAUGUUAUAAUUUGAACACAAAAGCGGUAGGAACACGCUGCUACGGGUUUAUUAUAACAACUAGUUGGGUGCCCGCGCAAUUGCGCGGCUAGCACCCAUACAAAAGUAAAUAUUUUUAUAUGAUUUUACUUAAAAUUUAUUAAAUAUUUGUCUCGUUGUCUUAAGACUUUGAAAGACCAAACCUUAUCAUCCAUGUGUUUCUAAUUUUAUAAUUUUUAAAAGUCACACCAGUUGCUACCCCUUACUUCUGUCAUAUCAUUUUUUAUUUGCUUGCUUGAUCUACCAUUAUUUAUAUUUCUUUCUCCUUGAAACCUUUACAAAUUGGAUCUUAUAGCUUUUAGAGUUUAUUGUCCAGUUGGGUCCUCUAUGGUCCGCCCGCUACCCCUUAUUUUUAUUGCCAAUAGGAUUUUAACAAUCAAACAAAAUUAUUAUUGGGGUUCUUUUUCUUUACUUUCUAGAAGUUCGGUCAAACAGUCAUCAGCUCCACCACUGUGAUCCUCUAUGGCCCACCCGCUAACUCCCCUCGAUUUUAAAAAUCGAACGUAAUUAUCAUUGGGGUUUACUUUUUUACUUUUUAAAAGUCCAGCCAACUGUAGUGACCGUGCUAUUUAAGUAUUUAACGGCAUGCUCGUCGUCCCUCAUCUUAAUUGUCAUUGGAUUUCUAUUUGAGAUUUUGUUUAUAGUUUUUAUAUGUCUCAUCAUGCAUCAUCACCCUACUCCUCUAUUAACUUAUUGUUUUUCCCUCUUUAUUAUCAUUUAUCAUUGUUGUGUUCUAUAUGGACCUUUUUUUUAAAGAAAAAUCAUAUUUUUCAUUCCGAUGUUCUGUUAUUUAUAAAUUUUAUUCAUACUUGCACUCUUAUAUAAUUAUUUUAUAUUUUCAAAUUUUAUUUUAUUUUUAUUUUGAUUUUUAAUUUAUCUCGUGAUGGGUUCUAGAUGAUCUUUUCUUUCAACAAUCUUUUCUUUAAUUUCGAAUUUUAGUUAUUUAUAAAUUAUAUUCCUAUUUGUACUCUUCUUUUUCUUUUUUAAUUGUGAAAUUUAUUUUAUUUUCUAUUAAUCUCAUACUGUGUCUAUAUGAAUUAUUCUUCUAAUAUUUUUUAUUUUUUAUUCCUAAUUUCAGUUGUUUGUAAAACGUAUUUUUACUUGAACUCUUUUAUUUGAUUUUUCUAAUUUCUAAAUUUAUUUUAUUUUUUAUUAUGGAUUUUAAUUAAUCUUUAAUUGUGUUCGGCAUGAACUCUUCUUUCAUUUUUUAUUGUGUUAUUUCAAAAUCAAAUAAAAAAUCCGUGCACAUGCCGUCAUGCUUUUCUGGUUGCUGACGUGCAUCACCCAAAUCCGGCUCAUUGUGCAGCCGCACGGCUUGACCCGCUGCUUCGGAUUUCCGUCGCUCGUUGCUAGCAUCUAUCUUCAUAUCAACAAAAACGCAUCCAAAUUACGGUUCUACAGUGGUUCGUUGUCUGCUACUUCAUUAAUAUAUAUAUAUGUAUUAUAGCCUAAUUUGUCUAGAACCUAACUCUGGUUAAUUGGUUUAGGAAAUCGGACAAAACUCUUUUGAGACCGUUUGCAUGUAAAGGUCCUAGCUAGAGAUUGAUUCUAAUUCUGCACGCGUAUAAUAAGAUAGAUAGAUUGAUAGAUUUCAAAUACACAUAUUGAACACGCUGCUACGGGUUUAGUAUAUAUGAACGAUCUUCUUGGCAAAGAUGAUCGUUUUGAUUGGAGGAUGACGUAAGAUAUAAUGUACAUAGCUGAAGAUAUAAAUGUCAACUGUUCAUAGGACGAUGGUGUAAAAGGAGACAACCUGGACGAAAGCAACAAGCAAAAAACUUCAAAGAAAUUAUACCGCUUGCUCAAAUGUGUUCACUCUUUUAUUUUUCUUCGGUGGAUAUCCUUACUGACACGUGUGAAUAAUUAUAUGAACUGUUCAAAGGAGAGGAUGGUGUAAAAUGAGGCAAACCUGGAUAUGAAAACGACAAACAAAAGUUAGAGGUAGCCGUCUGAAUGUGCUAGCUCUUUAUUGUUCUUUCGUGGAACUCCUCGCUUUUACCUAUUUACGAUAAAUCUGAUGAUGUUUUGAGUGGGAGGGACAAUGGAAGGAACCAGAACUCCUUUUCCGGGUCGGCCAAAUAUUGGCAGGCCAAUCUCAUUAUGAUUGGAGGAAAUAAAGUUUUAAUUAUAACUAUAUGAAGGAUAUCGCGCUGGUCUCAAACAAACUUAAAGACGGUAAGGAAAUAGAAAACAAUGUGGCAAGCCCCGCCUCUGAUUGGGAUUACUCGCCAGGCUGGGAAAAGAUCCCUGCUGCCCUCCAAACUACGAUUUCCUUAUUGAUGCCGUUUGCUAGCAAAUCAACCGACUUGGCGAUGUGCUGAAAGAUCCUAACAUUCCGCUCUCUCCAAAUAAGCCAACAAAUGAGCAUGAACAAACUAUCGAAAUCUGUCCUGUAGCCGUUCUGAAAAUGCCGUCUUGUCGCGAUCCAAGUGGCCUGCCAUCCUCCGCAGGAAUUGCAAUGUUAAUGUUGCACCAAAGUCUUAGCUUACACCAGAAACCAGAAAAUUGGGCUGCUAGCUUAGCUCAAUUUUGUUUACUCUUUUAUGUUACUCAUGGAACUGCUCACUAACGCUCAAUUUUAUGUUAGCAUGUUAGCUGUAAAUAAGUUCUUAACUACCUCUAAUGAGUAUGAUGAAAAAAUACUAUUGCUGAGUAAUUUUCAUCCAACAACAUAGCAUAGCAUGUGCGUUGAGGAAUGAGGUGGUAAUGGAUAAUCCCAUCCCAUUCCUCAAACCAAACAACUCAUCAAGAAUCAAGUGAUGAAUUAAAUUCAUUAUCUCACUCAAACUAAAUGCUAGGCCGACAUUCCAAAAAAAUGACUUUUGUGUUGAACUCAAAGCAAACAAUCACUGGCAAUGUGCCCAAAUACUCGACAAUUGCCGAGUACACAGCGGAUGCAAAGGUAAGUCAAGAUACAUAAAUAACUCACAUUGCAUCUCCUUGAAUCUCCUUCUUCCUGACAUCAAGGGCGAUCAUCACUCCUCCCAUAUCACAAUCCCUGUUGGCAGAAUUGCACAAGAGGUAAACAACAUCGUCGUCGUCGAUGCUCAAGGCGGGGUAAGACAUAGCCAGGCAUCCUAGGGACAAGCUGGACCCUUUGGCUUCCUCAUCAUCGCUGGUGCUGAGCAUGAGCUUAUUCAGCAACCCAUGAUGGGCUGUGUUGUCGACGACAUGGAAAUCAUGCAAGUUAGCUGUGCAGUCAGGGCGCCAGUCCUCCCAUGAAGUGACCGGGAUAGGCAUGGUCCAUGUAGUGAGCCACUGGCCAGGCCGCCGGACGGAGGAGCGCUGCCGUGUCGUCGGCUGAGGCUGAGGUUCUCUGCUCCGGCGAACCCAUUCGAGGAACGAAUCAGGAGGAUCAUCUGCAGGCAUGGUGCGAUCACCGGAGGAUAUUAUGGUUUUGGUCACAACUCUUGGCAUGGUGAUUUCCAUCUCGACGUACUUGAUGAAGUCCUUGUGUUGGCUGACGGUGAUGUCCCGAUAGAAGGACUCGCUGUCACUGAGGUAUCUUGUCCAGUUGCCCUUGGCCGGCCAUGGCAGCGGCAUGUCGCGGAGCUUUGGGGGAGACAUUUCGUCGAGCAGGUCGCAGAGGAGGAUGCCACGCCAGAGAUCGACCCAGCCGACGGUGCCCUUCGCGCCUCCGAGCACGAUGGUCUUGGUGGUGAUGUGGUACACGGGCCUCUCAUCUGAGUCAGGGAUCGGGCACACCCUGUCCCUCACCGCCUCCUCCACAAACACCUCCUCGCACGUCCAAUUUCCGGCGAUCUCAUCACCAUCGCCACCACCAGAAGAAGAUUUGUACCGGUGCAGCGCGAAUUGACUGGGCAGGUUGAUCAUCUCGAGGGCGGCAACGACGUACUGCUGCUUGUCGCCGCAGAUGCUAACGAUGGCGAAAUCGUCGUCGCGUAAGCAAUAUUGCUGGCACGGCCUGGGGAGCAGAUCUAGCCUGGCGGGUUGAUGGUGAUGGUAGACGAAGUAGUCGUCCUGACGGAAGAGACUCUUGCCGCCGGGCACGGGGUUGACGGGGACUCUGAGGAGGAGCAAGCCGUCGGCGACGGCGAUGACUUUGGGCGCCAGGAGCAGAUCGCCAUGGGCGGCGGGCGGCAGAUCGGAGCCGUGGGCGGAGAAGUGGGAGAGCGCGGGAGGGGCCUCGUUCCAGAAUGUCAUCUCGAUGGGACGCCCGUUGCUUGUUCUGGAGGUGGCCGUGCUGCCUCCCUCCUUCUCGCGGUGGCCGCUGUCGUAGCCUCGGACGCCCACCAGGACGGUGCCGCCUUCACCGGCGCCGGCGCCGGCCAUGGCGUUCGAUCGAUCCAUCCAAAAUAUUCCAGGCCAAUCUCCGAGAAAGGGUACGUAGAAGGGCUCGACGACGCAUUAUGCUGGGCUGUAUUUGGGCCCAAUUGAACCAAUCCACUAAGGCCCAGUGGCCCACAGUAGAAGAGAGGAUAUGCCAACUUGCCAAGACCAGCUCCAAGUUGUAAUAACAUAUAGACAAAAUGCUGAUCAAGUCCACCAAGUCUGUUGUUUAUUACUGUUCAAACAAAAUGUCGUUCAUUACUUUUUCUGUUCUAAAAUGUUGCUACAUGAUACAUGAUUGCGCGUCACUUUCUAAUACAACAAAUCUGUAUAAGUGCAUGUGCAAUCGUGUAUAGAGUUAGUAUUAUUAGAAAAAUAGAGAAUAAAACAUCAACCCUUAUUAUACUGAGAGUAAAGUUUAAAAAUCAAUCAAUUGGACAAUAGUUAAUUAUUUUGUUUACCAGUUGAAUCACCAGCUUGUAGGGAACAAUUCGUUGAACAAAUCAACCCACCCAAAUCAAACGAACAAAGUCUCUAAAUUUUCUCCGGAAAAAAACAAAACCAUCAAGCUCAAAAAAUAAUAAUACAAUAAUGGAAGACGACGAGGAGGACGGCGAGAGUCAACCCCCACGCCGGCCAUUGGCUCCGCCCCGCGCCGCUGGCGGCCGGCGGAUGCAAGGGGACGCCGCUGGGCGGCGGGCUCCCUCGCCGCCGCCGCCGCCACCGGCGGCGGCGGCGGCGACUUUGACGGCGAGCCUCAUCCCUCCGAGGCAGUGGCCGGGGAAGUCGCAGAUGAACCAGUAGGUGGCGUUAGGCUCCGUGAGCUGCACCCUGUCGUAGCCGGUGUCGUAGCUCUUGAUCACGCCGGCGACGCCGCCGCCGCCGGUGUCGCACGACCGGUAGGUGGCCUCCGUCACCUGGAGCACGUUGUGCUGGCUCCUCACGUACUGGAACACUGGCGCAAACACAAACAUUAGUAGCUAGUAGGAUAUAUAUCGUCGUCAAAAUCCAAUCCAAAUCCAAGAAACGAAUUGAUCGAAACCUAGGAUGUCGCCGGCGAGGAAGGCGUGCUUGUCGGACCAGGUGGCGUAGUUGGUGCCGGUGUCCCAGGGGCCAUCGCCGACGGUGUACUCGGCCGCGGUGGCGGAUCGGAGGAGCAGAGAGAGGAGGAGCAGGGCGACGAGCUGCAGCGGCGGCGACGGUGGCAUCCUGUCGAACAGAGGCGAGGGUGCAGGGCAGAGAUGGAGAAGAGAUUAAUCACUGGAAUUAAUAUGGUUCAGUGGACAUAUAUUAGCUUGUUUGUUACGACUAGCUUAAUUAGCUUUGUGGUGGAUGUUAUUGUGUUGUGAUUGAAGUUUUGGAAAGCUAAUUAAAGAAGGUUGCUGAUGGCGACCGGCACAGCAAUAUGCAUGCGUGCGCGGAAAAGGUAGAUUUUUUUUUCUUUUUGACCAAGUCAAGCUUAUAUAUGUCAUCAAUGAUUAGAGCAAUGUCAAUGAUAUAGCAGGGUACUUAGCGGCAAUAUUUGGUUAUUUCACAUAUACUCCCUCCAUCAAAAAAAAACCCAGAGUCCAGGUUUAAACCUAGAAUUGGGUUUUUUUUUUACGGAGGGAGUAGCCACUAAGAGAGAAAGUAUAUGCAGUAAAUUAGCUGUUACAUUAGCUAUAUGAAAUAGAAAAUCAAUUAAUUCAUGCAUAGGUAUCAAGCUCAUCCUUGUAGCUACCUAUGUUAUAUGCAAUUAUAUAAGCUGUGGUGAUUUUAUUUGCAGAAUACACCAUUGAUGAUGGAUAAGGUUUUUGUUUUUUUGAACAAUCAGUGGUAUGAUUUAUUGAUUAAAGUAGGAAAUAAUUACGAGGAUAGAGUCUUCAAAGGCAAUACUUCGUCCGUUUCACAAUGUAAGUCAUUCUAGCAUUUCCCACAUUCAUAUCGAUGUCAACGAAUCUAGAUAGAUAUAUAUGUCUAGAUUCAGUAACAUGCAUAUUAAUGUGGAAAAUGUUAGAAUGACCUAUAUUGUGAAACGGAGGGAGUAGCUAGGAAAGAAGAAAAAAUUCCACCAUCACACAUCGACGUCACCUAUAUACAGCUAAGAAGAAGGUUUAGCACCGGUCCGACUGUCGCUAAACGUGACCAACAGACGAAAUAGAAGUAUAGAACUGAGCUAAUCGAAGCAAGCAAUUUAAAAAUUAGAUUCAUUUGAAUUCUUAUAUAUAUACUUUUUUUUAUUAAAAAAGCUUUUAAAACUAAACUAUUUUAAUACAAGUAGUUCAGAAAACAUGCUCACCGUAAACUAAGUAAUUGCAAAAGCAAAAGAUGUACUAAUAAAGCCUACUGAUCAUUUGUUCACAUGUUUGGGCCUCAUCGUUUGCCCUAAAGCUUAUAAGCCAAAGCCAAAAUUUGAAUUUAAAAACUUAAAUUUGAAUUUGAUUCUUUUUCAACAUAGUUUUUUUUUCAACUUUGGCUUUUCAAUCACUAAGAACAUAUAUACAAAAGUUUUACUCACAUAUUAUUUUUUAAUCGCAAAUAAGCCCGUUAUGACUUAUAAUAAGCGAGACUAACCGAUGGGGGCCUUUGUUUAUCUGUCCAUCUCCAUCUAUAAAUAUGUAGAGUUGAUCCAUUCGAAGGUUCUCCUGCACAUGCGUUUCAUUUCGACUUUGAAGCCGUCUUCCAUCCUUCCCCUUAAUCAUGGGUUUUUCUUUGAUUUUCCUAAAAGGGAUAGAUUGAUUGAUGACGUGGCGACGAUUUGGUCCAGGUAGACGCCCGCCAUUCAGCCAGUCAGCCAGCCACGUGAUUAUAAUCUGGACACACGUAUGUGAUGCGGUACGGGAUUACGCUGAACGUGCGGGCCAUACAUAUCAAGAUGGGCUGGAAGUGUACUGGGCUGGUAGUGCGGCAUAAUAUUUUCUGGCCCAGAUCGGAAAUAGCAACGAGUGUGCGGCAUAUAGUAUUAUUUGGGCCGUAACGGCAUUUCAGUAGAAUUUGGCCCAUUAGUCCGUGGGUGGUGGGCCUUGUUGACCAGGAGCAGGGAGGGUCGGGAUCAAAGGCCCAUCAAUCCAUUACGGCCCAUGCCGAGCAAGUUAGUGCUUGUAAAAGGUACUCCCAGAUCAAAAACAAUUAUGAGUUGAUGCAUGCUUGGCACGUAACGACAUACUGAUGAAAUACUACUCCUCUCGUCGCAAAAAUAAAAGCUUACAACCGAAUGAAUCAUUUAAUAGCCUGUCUAGAUUUAUAGUAAUAAAAAAUAUUACAUUCAGUUCUUAUACCUAUAUUGUGAGCGGCAAAAAAUUACCGCAGGGUUACGUGAGCUUGCGGUGCUUGCCAUCGGAGCUAGCUGGAUCAUGCAAAGACUAUGUAUGUGUGGAUCGUGGAUACAGUACCGAUCGUCUGGCUUAUUAGUAAAGCCAAUGCUAUAUCUCAAAAUAAAUAAAUUUAAAAUUUUAAAAUUUGACUUUUUCUUUAGCUUAUUAGACCAUGGGAGCCUACAUGCAUAUAUGUCGUACGUAGCUAAUUAAUGCAACGCACUACGUACAGUCGUCGGCCGAUCGAUAUCAACCAUAUGCAUGCAUAUGGGUUAUCUAACACGUAGAAUUAAUAUCUUAAUUACGGGAUCAAAUCGAUAUCGGAUCGGAUAUUGCAUAUGCGUACUGACGCGGCAUGAAUGUGAAUUAAUAAUGGAUAAAUAUUUCAAAUUACAUGCGGCAACGGCAAGCGAUCGAUCGAUCGAUCUGCUACGUCGAUCUCAUGCGUAUCGAGAUCGAUCGAGAUCCAGCUAGCUAUAGCAAUUGCCGACGCGUCCAAGCUUAAUUAACUUUACCUGAUCGAUGGAUGACGACCUCGCUUAGCAAGCGGCGCGUGAAAUUAAUUUUAACUACGCGCAUAGUAUCUGUGUACGUACGUACGUACAACUAAUACGUAUAUAUAGCUCCUAGCAGCGAGAGCAGCAAAGUCUCCUCCCGCAAAAUUCCAAGUGUUCGAUCCACCGUGCUCCACCUUGGCUAGCUAGCUGCCAUUCCGUCCCAUAAAAAGCAAAUUCUAGCUAUAAAUCUGGACACGCAUAUAUAUAUAUAUAUAUAUAUAUAUAUAUAUAUAUAUAUAUAUAUAUAUAUAUAUAUAUAUAUAUAUAUAGUUAGGAUUAAUUUUUUUUACGGAUGUAUUAAAGAAAAGAAAAGGAUAUAUAAAAGACUAUGUCAAUUGUAAUGUUUCCCAUAUUCCUAUUAAUUAAUAUAUAUAAAUAUUAUAUCGAUAUUCUUGUGGUUUUAAUUUGUGCUAUAAAAUAAAGUGGUCAACUAUAGUUGUUUAUUAGAGCCAUAAUAGCAUAUAACUAUUGUAAGAAUGGAUACAAUUAAUUACUUUUAAUCUUAAAUUUAUGCGAUGAGUUUAAGCUAUAUAAUAUUAGAAAACCCCUGCAAUUUAUCCAUAAACUUAGUCAAAUUUAGAGCAGUUUAACUUUGAUCAAAGUAAAAACAUAUUAUAACCUGAAACAGUGGGAGUAUGCAUAACAUGAAAACAAUUCACUAAACUAGGGAGAUAGCUACAACACGUAACAUGAUAAGCAUGAAACUCGCUUGCCACGGAUAUAUAAUUACUCCAUCUCCUUUAACUUGAUUACAGCCGCAACAAAGGAGCAUUUUAUAACGCCAUGUUUUGCGUCCACUUAAUAUAUAUGUCUCUGGUUAAACACACGGCGGUUUUUUCCCCAAAAUAAGCAUAACGAGAGAAAUAAGGCAAUCUCACUCAAUUUCCUGCACAUUUCUAUGUUGAAUCAUUAGUCGCCAUUGAUUACAUGUCAAGCUCAACAUAUAUUUGAUGUUAUGUUACUCAAACACUACACACCACAGUUACAUGCCAACAAAAUAAUAAAGAAGAUAUAUAGCCACAUAUCUGUGGUGCAAAUUGUAAGGUUGUGUGCAUAUUGCUAUUGCUCGAUGGAUCGCUUUCGUGUUCCUUGUGAUGUGUUGCUUUAUCUUUUCUCCUUUCCAGUGUGUGCCAGAAAGAGGACACCUUUCUCUUCUUGGCUUUUGGAUCUUGUUUCUUGCCUUGCAAGAGCUAGCUUCCCCUAAUAAUCUCUCUCUCUCUCUCUCUCUCUCCAUUGCUAGCUAUAUAGCUACAUUCCUGGGUCGAUCCCUAUAUAAGAGGAGAGGCAUGAACUCAAAUGAAAUUUCCAAUAAGCUCCACAUGUCGUGAGAGCAGAGCACCGGCCGGUUGAUCGAGAUAACACAGUUGGAGAGUUUUUUCUCCUUUUCUUUUUUUCUGUUUAAUUCAUCCGGCGAGUCAGAUGAGGUCUUCGUCGUCACCUUCGUUGGCUAAAUCCAUAUUUAGCCUCGGAACUCGUAAGUAGACACUUGCUAUACAUGUAUAGCAUCUUUGAAUUCAACAGUUUUAUACUGGAAGCUUAUUAUAAAAUUCUGCCAAUGUUUAAACUUUUUUUAAGUAGCAACAUGCAUGCAUGACCUCAUAAUAAAAUCCAUAUUUGUCAGCUCUUGUGUGUUUCGGUUUUGUUCAGUUUGCGCAAAUCGUUUUGAAAGAUCAAACUACCUACAAUGUUCCACUCGCCUUAAUUCAUACUCGUUAACUAAUCCCUACAUUUGCAUCAGAACAAAAGUUAUGGUAGGCAAGCCUGCAGCUAGCUAGAAUCAAAACUUUAAUCAAGAAGCACACACACAAUUAUUCACUUAAAAUAACUAUGGUGGGUAAGCCAAUUAGUCCUGUGUAAUUUAGAUUAUUGAGUAGGUUGUUGCUACGGAUUAUUCACUUGAUUAUAUAUAAAAAGUAUAAAAAUUUUGAGAUACAAACUUAGCAAAUAACUUAAUACAAUUGGUAUGAGCAAUACAACAGAGAUUUUUUUUCUUUUCUUCAGAAAUGUAUUUUCUGAAGCGUAGAGCAAAUAAUCUGUUUCAAUAAUCGGACAAAUAAUCUGAAAACUAAACAGGGUACAUUUAGGCCGGUUAACCGACCUACAAAUGCAUGCUUUUCCUCAAGUUUCAUCUGCUAGCUAAGCUAUAGCCAAUAGCUUGUACACGUUGCACACUAGAGAGUCAAUGGUAGUGUAGCUAAAUUGCACACUUGCAUCACAAGCAACAGCAAGCUAUAGAGAUAGCUGUGCUCCCAAAGAGACUCAUCUCCAUUUCUUGACGCUUUCGCGCUCUCAUGCUUGCUCUUCCGCGUUGUUUGCCGCCUUAAUUUAAUUAAUUUGCUGCUUUAACUAACUACUAAUAACUUACUAACUUGGUCGUCGUCUUCCUCAUCUUCGCGCCAAUGCUGCAGAGGGAGCCAUGAUCGAGAGAAGCAACUCCACCCCUUCCGCCACUCCGGCGAGGCCACCGCUCGCCGUCGACGAGGAGUACAACCAGGCCUUCCGCUCCAAGUCCUUCCUCGACCUAUGGUCUCACGCCCACCACCACCUCACCCACACCUUCUCCUCCUUCAAGCUCUCCACCUCCACCCCCUGCGCCGGCCGCGGCGGUGCCAGGGAGGACGACUUCUUGCACGCCGGCGGUGAUGGCGGCGCGGCGGAUGACUCGGAGCAGUCGUGCUCUUAUACUGUUCUUGACGACUUCGUCCUCGAGCCGAGCCCGGAGUCGCUUGCUCGGGGUGCUCGUCUCCAGCAACGGCGGCGGCGGCGGCCGCGGCGUCACCGCGUGGAGACGCUGCUGAUUGAGUAUUUUGAUGUGACGGAGGAGGCGUGCGAGGCUUGCUCCGCGCUGCUCGCCGCCAUCGGCGCCGCGCGGCGGCAUCACCUCACGCUCCGACGGCUGCUGCUCCGGCUCGACGGGGGAGACGACGACGACGCCAAGGAUGCCCUCGCGCGCCAUGUCCGCCUCGACAACCCGCUCUCCCCGGGCAGCCUCUCGGAGUUCCACGACGUGCACGCCCGGUGCUCUCCGCUGGCGUCGCCCGACGCUGCCGCGAGGGACGGCCACCGCCGGAUCCGGGCGGGGGAUGGCUUGACGAGCCCGUAGUAGGCCGUCGUCGUCCACCCGCCGCUGCCCCGCCGCUCCCUUAUGCCGUCGACAACCACAACCUCCUCCUCACAAGAUCCCACCGGUGCCGUCACUGAUUCAUGGCCGGAGUAGGGAAGGGAGCCCUUGUCCGAGCCGCCUCCAGUGACCGAUGGGAGCGCCGUCGUCGCCCGCCGCUAGCGCAAGAUGUCGCCAUCGCCCGUCGCCGAAGGAAGCAGGAGGAAGCCCGAAACCGCGCCCGCCGCCGCUCGGCGGUGGAGGAGGUGGAGCCGCCGCGCCUCCCGCCCGCCGACGCCGCGCCCGCAGUCGCUCGUCGCCCCGAGCCGCCGCCACCGCUUCUUCUCGCCGCACGAGAAACUGCCGGAUCCGUAAAAUGUGGAGAGGGAGUCAGGGAGAGGAAAGUGGCUGGACGGUUUCUAAUAUAUAUAGCUAUAGCAUGUAGAUUCGAUAGUAAACAAUUUACUAGUAAAUUUGGGAGGGGUAGGGGGCGCCGGUGGUUGAGGUGCACGGGGGUGGGUUGGGAGGGGUGGGGGUAGGUCGGUAGGAUGUGAGUAUAGAUGGCCAUCUGGGCCGCCCGGCACGGCACGGCCCAAGCCCGGCCAUGCCUGGGCCGAGGCUUGUCGGGCCGGCACGGCCCGACCGAUGCACCGGGCCGUGCCGUGCCAGCCCACGGGCGGCAUACUCGGCCCAGGCACGGCCCAAUACUAGUCGGGCCGUGCCGGGCCGGCCCGAAGGCACGAUGGGCUAUUGUGCUGCCUCACAUAAAGAGUUUAUAUUUGGUCCCUCAAUUCCGUGGGCUGUGUUUAAAUGGCUGGAAAUAAGUCUAUUUUUAUCCCUCAACUCUGUGGCUGUGUUUAAAUGGCUGGAAAUAAGUCUAUUUUUGAUCCCUCAGCUCUGUGGGUUGUGUUUAAAUGGCUGGAAAUAAGUCUAUUUUGUAUACCUAUUUUCUUGGGCCAUGCCAUAUACGAUUAUAUAAGUCUAUUUUUUGUCCCUACAUUUUUUUUAUUUGAUCGGGCCGUGCCGGGCCGGCCCACCGUGCCGAGGGUGCAGCCCAGGCAUGGCCCGGCUGUCGGGCCGGGCCGGCACGGGCACGACCCUAGUCGGGCCGGGCCGUGCUUGGGCCGGGCCAAAAUUGCGGGCUUCGUGCCGGGCCGUGGGCCUCGGGCCAUAUGGCCAUCUAUAGAUGUGAGGGGGAGCAUGUAUAUAUAUAUAUAUAUAUAUAUAUAUAUAUAUAUAUAUAUAUAUAUAUAUGUAAAAUUGAUCUGGAAUGUGGCGGUUACAUGGGCCUGAACUGAUGUGAGGAGAAAAUUUGUUCUACUUGCUAGGACAUGAUAUGAUCUGGACAUGAAAACGGAAAACGUGGAGCAAUUUGGGAGGGGGCGAUAUGGAGGAAUCGGACCGGAAAAUCGUAAAAAAAUACGCACAGGGAGGAAAUGAAAUUGGACUGCGCAGCGCAUUAUACUGGGACAACGUACAAAAAUACUUGGCAAAAGCAUCUUAAACAUUUAUGAUAGGUAAAGAUCUACAUAUUUCAAUAAAAAAAAGUCCUACCUAAAAUUUAAAACUAACUCAAAAUUUGAAAACUUUGAACUCUCAACGUGAAAUUUGAACUUUCAACUCGAAUUUUGAAACUUUCAACCUGAUUUUAAAAACUUUCAACUUGAAUUAUGAAAACUUUCAACUGGGAAUUUAAAAACUUUUAACGCGAUUAAAAAAAUUUCUAACUCAAACUUCUAAAACUUUCAACUCGAAUUAUGGAAAAUUUCAACUGAAAAUUCAUGAUCUUUCAACUAUUUUUUAAAACUGUGAACUAUCCUUAAAAAAAAUAAUUAUUGAUGUAUUUUUUUAAAAAAAAAUAUUACUCCAGUACAUAUUACCAUUAGCGCUAAUUAGGUCAUUUGCGGACUAAUCACCCCGGGUGCGGGCAUCCCAAAUAAAAGCCUUCGCUCCACCCGUCUACGUCUGUUUGUUGUAUUCCCCUUCCUUACCCCCAAAAUCGAAAUCCCUAAUUCGACGCCAUGGCCGCGACUGGCGGCGCCGCCGGGGAGAAGACGGCCAGCAGCCUCCUGCUCGGCGUCCGGGGCUACACGUCCACCCUCAAGAACGCCUCCACCGCCAGCUGCAGGUUGAGCGCCGGCCAUCCCAUCGAGGUGACUUUGUGGGAGGCGUCCCCGCCUGCCCUCUCCCACUUCUCCGUCCACUGCCCCGAUCUCCCAUCCUUCAAUGGCAAUCUGCUUGGCGCGCCUAAAGCCAUCGCCGCCGCCGUCGACGACGCCGACGGCCAGCUCCUCCUCCUCCUCCGAGUCCCCAUCGAUCAGCUUGGUGCCCCGCAUGACAACGACUACUUGGUCUACCAUCCGGAUCCCCCGUCUCCGAAACUGGAUCUGCUCCCCAACCCGCCUCCCCCUACCCUCGGUGACCACCAGCUUGCCAUACUCAGCUGCGGCGACGACCGCUACGUCGUGGCCGCCCUCCACGUCUGGAGUGAGUUCACUUCCACGCUGCGCCUGUACAGAUCUUCUUGUUCGUCUGGGAGUUGGACAUCGGAGGAGGUGUCCGUGGAGGAGCCGGUGAGGGACAGGCUGUGCCCGAUCCCGGACUCAGCCAAGAGGCAGCUGUACCACGUCACCACCAAGACCAUCACGCUCGGAGGUGCGAAGGGCACCGUGGGCUGGGUUGAUCUCUGGCGCGGCAUCCUCCUCUGCGACGUGCUCGACGAAAUGUCUCCAAGGAAGCUCCGCGACAUGCCGCUGCCGUGGCCGGCCAAGGGCAAUUGGAGGAUGUACCUCAAUGGAGAUGUGUCCUUUUGUCGGGACAUCGCCAUCAGCCAACACAAGGAUUCCAUCAAGUAUCUGGAGAUGGAGAUCGUUUCACCAAGAACGGUGACCACCACCAUACCCACCUCCACCUCUGCAGAUCCUACUUCAUACCUUGAAUGGGUUCGCCGCAGCAGAGAACCUCAGCCGACACGGCGACGCUCCGUGUUCCACCCUGGUUCGUGGAGAAUCACUACAUGGAGCAUGCCUAUCCCGGUCACUUCAUGGGACGACUGGCGCCGUGACUGCACUGCUGAAUCGCGUGAAGUCCAUCUUGACACCAACCCAAGUCACCAUUACGAGUUGCUUCAUAGCCUCAUGCUCAGCAACAGCGGUGAUGAACACAGGGAGGAGGCUCAAGGUCAAGGGGCAACCUCUUCCUUGUCCCUAGGUCGCCUGCGUUUGUGUUACCCGGCCUUGAGUUGCAUCGAUGAUGAUGUUGUUUACCUCUUGGGCAACGCUGCUGGCAGGGGUGCUAAGACGGGAGGAAUGAUGGUCGCUGUUGACGUCAGGAACAAGGAGCUGCGAGGAGUGGCCAAGCUUGACCCCGAAAAGAACACCCUCUACUCCAUGCGAUGCUACCUUGCAACUGGGAUCUCCAAACGCCUCAACACUACCACAGGUACUUAAUUACCGCUCGUAUUCCAGAACAAAUGCAGCGCCAUGUGCAUAUGGGUAAUAAAAUGCCAUUUAAGGAUCUAGGGCUGAUCAUUAUAGUUCUUUGUUUAUGAUGGUCCGAAUGACCAAACUAGGACUAGAAUGUAGUAACUUUAUUUAGGGUGAUAGGCUUGAUAUGUUGAUACAAGGGCAGAACAGUACCAAGAGUCCUUUUGGCAGAGUAGUACCAAUACUCAUUAUGCAAUAUACUGUUUUGUGUGAGUUUCAGACAAACGUUGUGUUUCUAACUGUACUUGCAAAAACAAAACCUGAACUCUGUUAACAGAAUAAAGACACCUCCACUAAAAUGUCGACGACUAAUGCAUAAAAUUAUUUGCGUUCUUCGUGAAAAUUCAUAGCAGUAAAUGUGUCGUCACUCUUGUUUCCUUGUCAUUAUGCGUGUAAUAUAUUUUGCUAGCAUGCAUUUAAAUAUGAAGUAAUUAAUCAAAGUGCAUUCGUACCAUGUCAAAAGAACAAGAGAAUAGAGCAAGUAAUAAUAAGGUAGUACUUGACCAAAGCAUACUUGAAAAAGUAGUAUAUUGCUUUAGGUUUUGCUUUUCCUGUUGUACUCAAUGUGGACAACAUGAAUGCUCUUCCUCUUGAGUACUAAUUCUUGCUUCAAGGACAUUUUAUGAGAUAAUAGCUAUUUUAUUUGAUGUAGACACAAGAGUUGGACGACCUGAGGAGGAUGCAGAAGCCGCCGAGUAGAAUGUGCGAACCCAGUGACAUAUAUGCAUCAUACUGCAGCCUGCCUGGAUGCAAAUAUUAUCGUAUCAGUGGUUUGUUGGCUUGAAUGGGGGUUAAGGAGUUGUGCUGUUGCUGGGCAUAUAUAGUUUUGUGACAAGAAUCUUAUCCAGGUUGCUUACUUUGGGUUGAUGAUAAAAGUAGGAGUAGACGUGAAUAACAUUAAUAUAUGUUGGCUUAUUUUUUGAGGGGAUGUUGGCUUAUUUAUGUGGCACUAAUUGUCUUUAUGCCUUUGAGUUAAACACAAAACAAUGAUCCAACUCUUUGAACCUGUUUGUUUCAAGUAAUGAGUUGAUGAAUUUUUCACCACUUGGAGUCCUCCCUCAAACUGGAUCUGCUCCCCGCUGCCUCAAACUGUUUUUUUUUUUUGAACGAAUGUGUUUUCUAAGUUCAUUCUCAGAACAAUGCCCGCCAUCAGAUUCAUCGACUAGCAUAGCAAGACAGUAUAACUUUUUACCAAAGAAAACUGAUUAUAUAGUAUAUAUAGAAUACUUGUCUUACACACAGUGACAAUCCAACAAUAUCUAUGCAACAGGAAUAAUAUGUUAGUGUGCAGAUCAUACCCUCUCAACUCUGAACUCUUCUGCAGCAGGGAGUUCAAGAUAUAUUUUGUACAUAGCUGACAGUGCACCAUUCCGGACAGCGGGACAGAGAAGCUCCAAUCAAAAGUCUCCGAUGUUCUGUCUUAUCUUCUAGGUUUUCGGGCUUGGCUCAAUUGGAAAGGCCCAAUUGAUUUUGGGCUUGAGUACAACGCAGCAUAAGGCGCCACCGAUUAGGCCCAAGUACAGGUAUACUCAAUUAAUUACCACUACUACCACUACAGGUAUACUCAAUUAAUUACCGCUCCUUGUUGUCAUGUCUGUUAUUUGCGUGCUGUUCUACGAGAGAUUAAUCUCUUUGGCUUAAAUUUCUGUCUCAAUUCUUAACAUGCAUAACAGAUUUUAAUCGGUCAAUAUAUAAGUUAGGCUAAACUUUGUUGUGUUCCUUUGCUUGCCGGCAUGUAAGUUCCGAAGAAUUUUGUUUAAACUCUACAAUGUUUGGCCAAGAAAAUUUCUCAUAUCUAGCUAAGAAGAACUAAAAGGAAAAGAGCUGCUGCUCUUGUUCGCCAGUAAUCUGCAUCAAUGGAUAGUGUAUACUGAUCAUUCCGGCGUUGACAUGGCGAAAAGUAUUUUGUCAAUAGGAAGGAGGAGAAUCACACGCCAAGUGCAUGCAUGAUUUUUCAAUUCAUUUCAAGGCAAAGUUUCUAGACAAAGCUAGGUUCUCGAUAAGCCGGCCACUUUGAUUUGAUGACAAUUAGGUUAAUUAAGGCAAUCUUCUUGCCUUUCCUUUUCUAUCAAUAGUGGACAAAGGUGAGAGCUGAUAUUUAUUAUAUCCUGUUAGCCAUUCAGAAAGUGCUUUCCAUGACAUUCCAAACGAAAUGAUAUUUUUCUCAUGUUCAGUCGGCCAUGCAUCUUCAGUUUAACUAAACAAGACAAAAAAAAAAAAAACUUAUAUCCAACAUAAGAUAUAUAUGCCCUAUGAGCAUAAACGCACUCAGUGAUAAAAUAUACUAGUAAGAGGUAAAGCUAAGGUGAAUGCUGACAAGAGACAAGCCCAUCUGUCCCUCAAAGAUAACAAAUACUACUACUGAUUGAAACAAAAUUAAAGCAUGAUAGCCACUUCUGAAUUUCUGAAUGGCUGAAGGGGAAAAAAAUUGAACAGGAUACUGCAUGCUGAUCGAGUUGAACAAGUAAGAAAAGGUGUUCAUCUUUGCAGAGACAAGAUCUAACACAUUUCUAACUGCAGAGGUAGUUCAUAGCAUCCAUCGAUCACCUACACACAAUAUCCUCUCUCAUGCCUGACCCCUGCACAAACGCACACCGGAUUGCAAAUACACAUAAUUUAGAUCUUUCUAAUGAUUUUGUAUCGUCAGAUAAUCUUGCUUGUUUUGGUCGACCUUCAGAAUUGAGUUGAUGAAGUUCGUCGCAGUGAGCUCUUUGUAGGCAUCACCAGUGCAGCAAAUAGAAGAUGAAUUACAAGACUUACCUGUGAUGAAUUACAAGACUUACCAGGCAUCACCUGUCAAAUAAUCCAUUGAUGAAGUUAGUUUAGAAACUCAAGAGAGUACCGUUAUAAAUGCAGACUUAACAUCAAGGCUAGCACAAAUAGAAGAUGAAUUACAAGACUUACCUGUGAGAAUGAAGAUAAGUUGAAAAGUUGAAGGAUAUUACUGUUAUUGUCAAGGACAUGGGAGGACCAGAGAGCUUACCCAGUCAUUACAAUUUAGAGAUGAACCACAGAUUUGCAUAUGGAAAAUGAUAUAAAUGAUAUAAGAGGUUUGCAAGAUGAUCUGAGAUCUAGCAAUGAGAAUUUGCUAAGAGAAGAAAGACUGAUAUAAGAGCUUUAGUCUAUCCUUGCAAGCCUGACUUCGAAACUUAGUCAAAAGAGUAUGGCCGUGCUUUUCAAUUUCUUAUGUAGUCUUAGCUGCCUCCAAUUUGUUCACUUGUUGGAUAGAUUAGGUAACAUAAAUUUGAUUGAUUUUCCUGAUGAUCAUAGAUUUGUUCACCUCCUCCGCCAUCUUGUGCCUGGCGCCGCCUCCGUCUUCGGUUUGCAAACGUGAACACUGGCAUCACCUACAUGAAAAAUCAAAUGGUUAAUGGUGUGCAACACUGUCAACUUUAAGGUGAAUUUGUGUCAACAAAAUUUCAGUCAAGCUGCACAAAAGAUUCAAAAGUCCCUGAAAUAAAUUGAGAUAACAAACAAUCCUCCAUGCAUAACAGUAUUGAGUACUGGCCCCAUUCGAGUUUAAGAUAAAAGAUUAAGUUCGGACAGGUAAAACGAGAAAAUCAUUAACAUCUCACUAAUUAAGGUUUAAUUAUUUUAAAAUUGAAAAAUAGAUUUAUCUUAUAAUUAAAGCUUCUAUAUAAAUUUUUUUCGUUCGAAAUAUACAGUUCAACAGUUUAAAAAAACGAAUUUAUAAAAAUCUAGGUAAAAUCUGUAUCUUAAUCAGAAAAAGAAAAAUAGAGGCUGAAGAAGCCUUGAGAGAGCAGUAGAGUAUGGCACUGGGAUGAUGCCAAACUGCUUUCAGAACCGAUUCACUGCUGCUGUUGGCAUCUGCAGAUUUGAUGAGUUCAGCUCCAAAAUGAAAUCUGCAUAAGCAAAGCAUCAUGAGUUCUGAAAAGCGAACUGUUUUUUUUUAAAAAAUCUUACAGAUAUGAACUGUAUUACAAGCAGCUGCGAAGCCACAAACCUAUAGCUCUGGCAAAUCCAUCUGGGCAGCACCGAGUCGCCGGCGCGUGCUGCGUGGCGGCGGCAACGCCGGGAGGGACGAGGCGGGAGGAUGAGAGCACCACGGCAAUCCUCUGCACCGAUGAGAUGAUGCUGCACAUGUACUGCUGCGCCAUGGCGGGCACGCUGCCCUGCAGGUGGCUCUCGAACGCGAACUGGAACGCGAUCGUCAUCACCGCCUUGGAGCUCGCCGCUGCUAUUGAUGCCGCUGAUCCUGCUCCAUGGCGUCGCUGCUUCGAGCAUGGAAGCGAGAUCUAGCAUGCAGUUCGAGCUAGAUGUGUCCUAACAUUUGCAAGGAAAGAAAAUCCAGAAGAAUUAUGUUUUUUAUAGCAUAAAAAUUUUAGAAAAUUUGAUUCGAAAUGCUAGUGUAUUAUCUAAUUGUGUGAGAUUUACUUACAGAGGAGAAUCGAUAGGGAUGAUGUAGAAACCGGAAGGCAGCAGCGGAGAAUCAUCACUGAACGAUGCAUCGAUGGGUGCAAAGAUUAGCUCUGAACAUGUUCCUGCACUGCUCUCCUCUACUCCAUUGUACAUCUGCCAUUGCAAUCAGGCCAAGAACACAAGUUUUACAGAGGAAAAAAGAAAAUGAUUCUUCAACUGGUGAUAAGUUUCAUGAAUCAAGAAGUCACCUGCAAGAGGAACAGAUCACGGUGCACCAGUGUAUCUUGGUAGUUUCUGGUGUUUCCUAGCUUGAUAACUUCCAGGAACUGAAACAGUAGAUGGUUGCACCAAAACAUCGAGCAGGAAAACAGAAUUGGACAGGACCUUUUUUGUAACCGACAGACAGUAGAAGAUGGACUUACCUCUGCAGGUUCAAAAGUGUGUGCUAAAGGAAGUAUGACCUGACCACUGAAUCCUCCAAGACGAGACAUGGGUAAAUUGCAGAAGUUUGGUUUCAUCGUCAGCCCAUUGUGACUGGUGUUCGCGCAAAAAUUGCAGUAGUGAUGGAGGAGAGACAUCCUAGCAAACAGCAGAAGAAAUAUUGUAUGAAAAAUAUUGGCAAUUACAAAACAAACAAAAAGAAAGUACUAAUUCUAGUUUCAUAGUGAAGCUAACCUGCAACAGCAUGGAUGCCUUGGCACAAAGAACACCGGUACUGACAAUAGUGAGUCCACUGCUGAAUGUUGCAUUGCAACCGGUCACUUUGGAUGAAUUGACAGAGAUGCAAACAUCGUCGAUGCCAUCGCUCUCGAUCACGGACCAUCCAUCAUCCGCAAGCCCAUUGAGAACUUCAUUGAAGCCUCUGAAAAGAGAGCAUGCAAAAUUAUUUUUCACACUUUUGAACUGAAGAUUCAUGGCAAGAACCAAGAAGCAUCUGCUGUUCAGGAGUCCUACGUGGUGAGCUUUUUGGCUCAGAGCAUGCAAAGCCGCAAGCUUCCUUCCCCAUCCUGUGAUCACAGAACGGGUAUCUUUGUAGGCAACCUGCCUCAGGCAGCGUAAAGACUGAAUUUUGCAUGACUGAAUUAGGCAAUAAUUUUUACAAAUCAACAAGAACAUCAAGAACAGGGUACUAUAAUUACUGUACCGCCAUCGAUAUCUUCUGCGCAACCAAGGCAGAAGAUUCAUACAGAGGUCGCACAACUUCAGGCACGCUCCAAGGCUGUGAACACAAAAAAAUUGGCUGAAAUUUCUUUCUGCUAGAUGAAUGAACUAUUUGGAUAAGAAAUUGUAAUGGUUAUUAGUUAUUACCUCCAGGUCCAUAUGAUCAACGAUGUGUAUCACGCUGCCUCCACCAUCGCUAGGUCGGAUCAAGAACCCACUGGGAAGCAUCUCAUCUCUGAUAAAAGGCUGGACAAGUGGCAUGCUUGGGCCUCCUUGCUUGCUACUGAGUGAUCUCUCACACACCUUCAGAAUUCAGAACAAGAACAUUCAGGCAAGCAGACAAGACAUCAUAGUGACACACAAAUACUUUGGUAUUAAUUGCACAUCAGCACAUGGAUAAUUUGUUUUGCGCUCCAUGAUCAGACAACUAACCACUAAGCUUCCAUCACCGAGAAUGGAGGUGUACCGCAGCAGCCAGAAGUCGUGAGCCGGCGCCAGCGUCGUCGGAGCAUAGAGUUGAAGACUGAAUACAGAUUUCAGCUUCGGAAUUUCAGGUUGAGCUAAGAAUUUGCCACAAAAAUUUUCAGGCUUGUCUGUUCUUGCCUGCAUGUAGAGCAGCUUGACCUUCCAUUUAGCACAACACUAAUGAGUUAAAUCAGAACAUGAACAACCAGACAACUACCCUACCCCUGCAUCAGAAACAUGAAGCUGCACAGAUAAGUUUUUAUCUCAGUCGUCAUAAAGCAGUGAAGAAAAUCAAGCAAAAAAUGUAAUUGCACCAACGAGUGAGAUGGACAGAUUGUUGCACCUCAUUAAAAAUAAAAAGCCCCAAACCUCCUCUAAGUCAAUGAAAAUUAUAGGGAAUGCAAUAAGCCACGAAAUAAUUGCAUGCUAGAAAAAAGUGGCUUGAAUAAACUAAUCUGAGAGCUCCAGUCCACGGUUGGUUUCUCUUAAACAUUGAAUUAUAUGAAGGCCUCUAUUCAAUGGGUUUAUUAGUAUCAACUUGCAUUUAACAGGAACAAUGGCCACUACAACUGAAACAAUGGUACAAUACGAUCAUCAAAGAUUCAAAGUUGUCAAGCUCUGUGACCAAUAGAUACUUACCUUUUAAUUGAGUUGCCAAUGCCCCAACGUUAUAGCCUGAUCCUUACCUUUCGGCUUCUUGCUAUUACCACCCUACUACAAUGCUAUUUCUAUCACCUGAAACAGUAAGAAUCAUGGAAAAAAGAUUCUCGGUUAAUGAUGGCAAGGAUUGAGACUCUGACCGUCCAAAAGAAAUAGUUCAUGCAGCAAUAAGAAAUUAAAAAUCGGCAUCAAGUACACGAGAUAGCCAAAUAAUGGAUCAGGGAAAUGACAUUUAUUUGAUCCCUGCAAAAUUUGCACAUGAACAUACUACUUGCCUAUAGAUGAUGGUGGUGUGGCCGUGUGGGCAAUAUUGGGUGCAUAUGAAAAUGCUGCAAGAAAAAAAAAGGGUGCCCUUUAUACCGAUCAAGAAAAAGAAGUGCAUUUUAGCUUGAUCAAGAACUAACCCAAAAGCAGGCUACUCGUCAACACUGUUUCACUCCCUCUCAGUGAUAUGUGUUCAUGUCUAUUCGGCCAGCAAGCACAUUGCGUUCGUCAAUACAUGCUGUCACUGCCCUUUUGAUCGCCCGCAGAAGAGCCACCCCAGCAUGCACGCAGACAACAAGACAACAACAAGCUUUGAGUUGAAGGGAAAUCCAGAUUAUAUAUUUGAUAUUAGUUAAUUCAGUGUCUCAAAAAAUAUCAUCAACUCCAAUUUGAUGACCAAAAAUCCUCUGCAAAACUGAUAAUUUUACAACCUUGAUGCUACAGAUCAAAUAACAGGACUGAAUGUGCCCUAGCUCCAAAUAUCACAAUAUAGGUGGUAUGUGUUCCUAUCGGGCUAACCUCACCUACUUCAGGGAAGAAAUUGGUCAGCAGCCAUACUUGGAUAAUGGCAGCAUGACCGUCGCCGUGGCCUCGCACCGCCAGUGGCCGGCGCACGCGCAACACACCAGGUCCUUCCGCUUUGGUCACCACUUGCCACUCUUUGCCUCCAUUAAUGACACCACCUCAGCGACUAGCCACCAUAGGUUUGGCCCCAACAAUCACUUGAAAUGAAAGUUGAGAUUACAAAUACGGCAAGCAGGAAAGCCGGUGAAAUCAAACUGCAGCAUCAUGCCAUUCUCCUCUCAAAUAUGGCCGUAAAGCAACACAAGAAGGGAUGUUUUUACCUCUCAAAUCUGUUUGCCGACACCGCCGCUGUGGUGGAGGAGGAGGCCACCAUGUAACACAGAACAUGUAACACAAGAAGGAUGGCAGUGUUUUAUCAGACUUGAUUUGUACCUGAAGGGCGGCAUGUUGGUGGGGAAUGCGUAGAUGCAGAGAACCAUCUCCAUCGGCCGGCAUGCUUGGUCCGCCACAAACCGCACCGGAUCUCAUCGCUGUGUUCUUGUAUCCGCCCCUGCCGAGGUCAGAGCACAAUCCACACCGCUGCUGAUUUACUCCAAUCCAUUCUUUCUAUGAAAAGAAGAAAAUCGAAAUAUCAAAAAAGGAACACAAAACUGAGUUCAACUUCAACCGCACAUCAUUAUGCACGCUGCAAACCUUACCUCCGUGAGACACGCACCAACAGCGGGAAACACGACGAUGAUACCAGCAAUGCAGCACCAAAGGAUGGGGAGAAGCUGUGCCGCCAGUCGAUCUGCGGCGCCCUCGCUUGAUCCGCCGUUGGUCCCAUUCGCACGAAAGGGGAAGAAAUGAAGACAUCAACCGAAGAGGCAGGGAGGGGAGAAGACAGAGCGACGCGACGAGGCGAGGACGAAGAAAGUAUUGGGGUGGAGGCGCUCGAGGAUGAGGAGGCCAGCGCGAGCUCGCAUCCGGCGCUGCACCCGUCCCCCGCCGCCUACGCCGCGAACGCCGCGGCCGUGAGGACAAGGAUGAGGAGGAAGGUGGAAGCUUCCACGGCGGGAGGUCGCUCGUGACGAAACCCUAGCGACGGGGCGGGGACGGGGAUGGGGGCGGCGACGCGAGGCGUGGACGGGGGCAGUGGUGGCCGGCAACGGAGGCGGUGAAGGGCGGAGAAUGGACCGGCGGCGGAGGAGGAGGAUGGCUGAGGGAGAGGGAGGAGGGGCGGCGCGCGGGGCGGCGGCGGCGGCGGCGACGCGAGGCGGGAGAAGGAGAGGGAGAGGGCGAGACGGGGGACGGGAGGGACGAGGAGACGAGCAGGCAGCGGCGGGCAGGUUGGGGGCUUGGGGCUGGGCGCACGGCGUUUUUGCGAAAAAGACCCUCGUCUUUCAAGUUUUACAGCGCGACCCUAACUCGCCACAUCUCCCUUCCUCCUAUGCAAUAACUGUAUUCACCAGAGGCCUAAACGUAAAUAGACAACUCGGUGGGACUGUUCAUGGAGGACGGCGGCCGAAUUACGCGCGAAGCGGAGGGCCUUUUCACAAAAAUGCCACCCCGCGCGCUGUAUAUACUGUAGCAAAAUCCUUACGUGGCACCCCUCCUCGCUCGCCCCAUGUGCGCCGCUUUAUAUAUUCCGAUUCCGAUUCCGUUUACAGGUGGAAUUAAUCACCUGUGGUGUGAACACAUAGGGAAGCAGGGGAGGGAGCUCCUGCUCCUGCAUGACGUCAUCCGGCAGCGGUAGCGCGGUCCUCAGCCACGCCCUUUGCUGCACGGCCAGUGGCCUCCGUCCAAGAUCCCCUCGGUGCCGCGGCUUGGGGAGAGAGGCGGCUGGCGAAUCAAAAGGCAGGCAAAGACGGACGUAGCGAUGCACGUGAUUUCACCCUCCCCAUCCCCAAGCACGGCAACCGAAUUCAUCGCCACAUCCAGCGACGAGGUGAAUCUGUGCCACUGCCGCCGAGCUUGAGGGGAGAGACGCACAGAACAGCGCGCCGGCGCGUGGGAGGGUCGGCCUCGGGCGCCGGAGGGGCGGAGGUGGAGCUGGAGCUGGAGCGUGAGGAGGAGGAAGAGGCGGCGACAUCGGCGUAGGUCGACCUCCGACGAAUGAGGCGGAGGAAGCGGGGGCGGGGCUGCCGGCGGAGAGAAGGGCAUAGCAGGGUAUAACUUUUUUAAAAAGACCCCUAAAACCUCACAUAUUACAAAGAGGUCCACCGCAGCUAUUCCACACCGUUCAUCAUCGAUCCGACAGCUGAGGGAGAGGACUAACGCUGGAAUCGUAUUGUGCCACGUGGAGGGGUUGUUUGCACGCGAAUCCGCAGAGAUUUCGAUAUUAGAGAUUACGCCAAUGCAUCAGGUACAACAUUUAUAUCAUCCACGUAUACGUGGAAUAACUGUAAAAAAACAUUUGUGAUUAUUAUUUUUUAAUACUAAACUGCUUAAAAAUCGAUCAGUUAAAUUUAUCCACCGUAGUACAAUCGUUACGCUAACGCGUCAGGAACAUCGCUCAUAUCAUACACAUGUAAAGUGGAAUAUUUAAAAAAAAACUUUGUGAUUAUUAUUGAAAUACUAGACUGUUUAAAAAAUUGUUCAGUUAAAUUUUAUCCAUCGUGACAUCACUCUGUGCGCAAAUAUAGAGCAUAUUAUUUAUCUAAAAACAAACAAUUUUUUUGAGCAGAUUAGUUCUCUAAACCAAACAAUACUUUUUGAUCGCUAUACACACUCCGUAAACACCCGGUGCAACGCACGGUCACUUUUGCUAGUCUAUAUAUAUAUAUAUAUAUAUAUAUAUAUAUAUAUAUAUAUAUAUAUAUAUAUAUACAUAUGUAUGUAUGUAUGUAUGUAUGUAUGUAUGUAUGUAUGUAAAAUUGGUCUGGAAUGUGGCGGUUACAUGGGCCUGAACUGAUGUGAGGAGAAAAUUUUUUCUACUUGCUAGGACAUGAUGUGAUCUGGACAGGAAAACGGAAAACGUGGAGCAAUUUGGGAGGGGGCGAUAUGGAGGAAUCGGACCGGAAAAUCGUAAAAAAAUACGCACAGGGAGGAAAUUGGACUGCGCAGCGCAUUAUACUGGGACAACGUACAAAAAUACUUGGCAAAAGCAUCUUAAACAUUUAUGAUAGGUAAAGAUCUACUGUCACGCCCGGAAUUUCUAUCCAAAAUUCCAAACGCUUACAUGUGUGUGAACCCUCGUCCAGGAAUCAGCCGAGUCACACAAUAACAAAUUGAUAAUAGAGUACAAUUAUUACUCUAAUUAAUAAGCGAAUAAAAUGUCAUUACAGAGGUAGAUAGUUCCUCUCAAUCAAUAAAAAUCUAAGCAGCGGAAAAAUAAGAUAAACGGCGCAGACGACUCCACUCCACAGGCAGCUUGACCAGGGCUACACCUAAUCCUCCACAUCAUCAGCUUCACUGUAGAACUCUUCCUCUGAUGAAUGAUUGCAAGGUGAGUAUAUGACAUACUCAGCAAGUCACGCAGCAAAUAUGCAAGUGCACAGGAUAACAAAGGGUGGCAUAGUAGGGUUUCAUUUGCAUAAACAGCAUUUAAUAAACAUUUCAGAAUUUAUAAAACAGUUAAGUAAUAAUUAAACAAUAUUAAUCCAACGCUCUACAACAUACCCUGUUGUAAAGGCCCAACAAUUCUGAACAACCAUACCCGGCUGUACAGAUCCAUCUCCAAACCAGGAGCUAAACAAAUUAUUACCAGUUAUAGCAUCUUUUAUUAUGGUGAGAAGUGUGAGACUAAUCACGAAAGACAUUGUUAGACCCGCCCAUAACCGCGGGCACGGCUAUUCGAAUAGUUUUACUCUGAUCAGAGGUGUACCACUGUACCCACAAGACACAGCCCCACAUCAUGUCACCAUGUGCCUCAAUACCACCACGGUACCUCGGAAAGGAGCUGUGACAAUACCCCUCGCACAACACAAUCCACUACAGCGCACCUUUCCUGGAUCAUAAUCACCCCCUUAUAAACAAGGCAUGGACUCCCCAGCGACCCCCGUGGGCUUAUCUCCGCCACUUCUCAGUCUGGUGCCCCGCAAUGAACCAUGCUAUACAAAAGGUAAAGCCGUUGCCCACGCUGGCUUGUGGUUGGCACGGUUAAUGUUUCACAACCGAAACUCGUGAACCGGUCCUUAAUUGUCAUGAGCACGACUCUCAAAACCAUGUGCUCACAACCCACCAUUAUCAAGUUUUAGUUGGCAAGUAAUUAAUUAACCAAUCACGUUUGACCAUCGUGAACUAACAAUAAGCCAUCAUUAAAUAAUAGUGAGUCAUAAGUUAUCCCAAUAGUGUGCUAAUGUUUCUAAGCAUGGCUAAGCAAUCACAUCUAAUAUCUAGCUGAACCAAUAUAUAUAGCUCAACUAGUCAAGUUAAAAUAACCCAAGGUAUCAAGGAAUAAAGUAAUCAAGAUCAAAAAGGGCUAUAACAAACAAUAGGUUAAUUCCACCCAAUGACAUUCGAAAAUAAAUGCAAUAUUUGAAUAGAAACAAUAGCUUUAAACGGGAUCAACAUGCUCAAAGGGUUGUUUGGGAUCUGUGUGACUUGCCUUGCUGGCCUUGGAACUCUUCAAAUUCUUCUCCUGCGAAAACGGGCUCUCCAGAAACGUCGGAAUCUAAACAGGAAAGAGCAAAAUCACCAAAACAGCACAUAAACAAGCAUGAACAGUACAUGUGGAUAUUUUUAACAUGUAGAUCUCAAUUUUAGAAAAAUUUAGAGACUUGAACCAACUAAAUCCGAGCUAAGAUGAAUUAGUUAUGAAUUUUUAAAGAUUAAAUCGGAUUAAAACACUUAUAUGGAUUUUAAUUGAAUUAUGACGCAAUAAUGAAUUAUUUUUGAAAAGGAAAAAGGAAUUAUUGCGUCAGCGGCUAGGGUUUGCGGUGGACCGGGCGCACGGCAGCGGUUCACGAGAACGAACGGCCGAGAUCGAUCCAUCCAAAACGGACGGCCGAGAUUGACCGAUCCACGGCCGGCUCACGGCGGACGGUCCCGAUGACGUCGGCGAUGACGUCACCACCGGCGGCGGCUCGGGCUUGCAACCUCGCCGGCGAACGACGGCGCGGCGACGCGAACGGAGGGCACCAGCACGAUGCGGGCAUCGCGGCGAACUCACCGAUGACCAAAACGUCGGCGGAAGAGCAACGGACGGCGACGGCGAAGAGGUUGAAGCGGCGGAGAAGAUCGGGUCGACGGCGGCGACGGUGUUCCGGCGAUCUUCAGCGACGGCGAAGGGGCGGACGAGGACGGCGACGUGACGGCGACCACGAUGGUGACCUCCCCGAGCGACGGCGACGGCUGGAGCGACGGCGAAGCACGGCUGGAGCGGCGGCGACGACGGCGGCGCUAGGGCGCUUCCGACGGCGAGAGACGAAGGCGAGGGUGGCGACGGGUAGAGGAGACACCGGGGAUCCUUUUAAAGGGGUUGGAGGGCGGCGGCGAAGGCCCACGGCGACCGGCGACGAGAAGGAAAGAUCGGGGCUCGGAGAGAGAGACCGAUCCGAAUCGACCUCGAAUCAAACACUUUCCAAGCGAAAUUAGCCGACGAUUCCAUAAGAGAAAAGGUAGAGGAGAUCCCGAAGAUUGUUUCCCCUCAAUUGAUUUCACCGGAGAAGGAAAGGAGCGGCCGGAUUUGGAAGGAGACGGCGGCGGCGCGGCGCUAGGGUUCGGGCGGCGGCCGACGCGAGGAAGACGACGACUCCGACAGGCGGGACCCACCUGUCAGCGACCGAACGCGCGCGUGAGGGACGGCUGCUGCUGGACUGGGCCGACUUGGGCCGGGGAGAGAGAGAGGGGGUUUUGGGCCAACUUUCGGCCCAAAGCCAAAAGAGACUUUUAAAAAACCUUUUUCAAUUUAAAUUAUUCAUGAAAUGCAAUUCCAUUUAUUAAAAAUACUUCCUUAGCUCAAAUAAAUCCCAGAAAAAAUCUAGGAAUUAUAGAAUUAAGCAAAAUAUUUAAUGAAAUUUUAUCUGGCCCCAUUUUAUAUUGGAAUUUAUUAAUUAAAAUUAGAUCUUCUCUUCUAGGCUUUUAAAAAAUAAAUUCUAAUAAUUCCAAUUAAACAACAAUUUAUAUAUUUUGGAUUUUUAGGGUGUGACAUCUACAUAUUUCAAUAAAAAAAAGUCCUACCUAAAAUUUAAAACUAACUCAAAAUUUGAAAACUUUGAACUCUCAACAUGAAAUUUGAACUUUCAACUCGAAUUUUGAAACUUUUAACCUGAUUUUAAAAACUUUCAACUUGAAUUAUGAAAACUUUCAACUGGUAAUUUAAAAACUUUUAACGCGAUUAAAAAAAUUUCUAACUCAAACUUCUAAAACUUUCAACUCGAAUUAUGGAAAAUUUCAACUGAAAAUUCAUGAUCUUUCAACUAUUUUUUAAAACUGUGAACUAUCCUAAAAAAAUAAUUAUUGAUGUAUUUUUUUAAAAAAAAUAUUACUCCAGUACAUAUUACCAUUAGCGCUAAUUAGGUCAUUUGCGGACUAAUCACCCCGGGUGCGGGCAUCCCAAAUAAAAGCCUUCGCUCCACCCGUCAACGUCUGUUUGUUGUAUUCCCCUUCCUUACCCCCAAAAUCGAAAUCCCUAAUUCGACGCCAUGGCCGCGACUGGCGGCGCCGCCGGGGAGAAGACGGCCAGCAGCCUCCUGCUCGGCGUCCGGGGCUACACGUCCACCCUCAAGAACGCCUCCACCGCCAGCUGCAGGUUGAGCGCCGGCCAUCCCAUCGAGGUGACUUUGUGGGAGGCGUCCCCGCCUGCCCUCUCCCACUUCUCCGUCCACUGCCCCGAUCUCCCAUCCUUCAAUGGCAAUCUGCUUGGCGCGCCUAAAGCCAUCGCCGCCGCCGUCGACGACGCCGACGGCCAGCUCCUCCUCCUCCUCCGAGUCCCCAUCGAUCAGCUUGGUGCCCCGCAUGACAACGACUACUUGGUCUACCAUCCGGAUCCCCCGUCUCCGAAACUGGAUCUGCUC
rnacentral:lncRNA from 1 species